AGCAUGGAUGUCGAAGCCGCCCUUUGCUGCUUAAUGGAGAUAUGCUCAUCAGACAUGUUUGUCAUUUGAGGCUCUGCUGGUAACUGUACAUAAUAAGAUGAUGAAGCAUGGCGAAAAGAUGAUAGUUACUGCAAAUCUAAAAGAGGGGAGGAUAGAAGAAAGAUACCAGAAAUGUUUGAUCCUGUGGUGAAGAUAGAUGUGGAGAUGCUGGAACAGGGGAAAUCAGUGCUUCUCUGCCAGCUUUUGUUUUUCGUUUUGUACUUUUAGUAGCGCGUUGAGCUGAGCCGCCAUGCCGAGAAGCAAGCGUUGCUGUCUUAAAAUGUAAAUGCCUGGCCGUCUCAGGAACUGCAGAAUUUUGAGGCGAGAUGUUGUCUGUUGGGUUGCGGUGGUUGAAAUUUUGAUCUGUUCAUUGGUAGGGUGGCGCGUUUGUAAGAAAGAGAGUUGGUUUCGUCGGUCUGGUUGUUGAAUUUUGAUGAGAAAUGAGGAGAGAUGUGGGGGUUGGAUAAAUUGGUUGCUUGUUUGUACCUUACCUGAUGGAUGAAAGUUUUACCAACAACACCUUUUGACUCAUGUGAUGGCUUUAGCUUCCUUGUGUGCAUUACAUGUGUGUGGUAAUAGCAUGAAAUUUAUGUAUUUUUGCUUUGCCCCAAAUCCUAUAGAAAACAAUUUCAAAAUGUAGGUCAUAUUUUGAUUUUUGAGAAUGCAUGACUUUAACCAUCAGUUUACCUUAUUAGGUAGCAAAAAAUGUGUCAUGAAAUUUAUGUUGUAAGAUUCGUAUUUUUAAUUGUUACUAGCAAAAGGGCCCGUGCAUUGCAACGGAAAAAAAUAAUCUUCAAUGGCCAUGACCACAUUUUGCUGCAUCACAGAGAUAUACUAUCACUCUCAACCUUGUGUAAUCAAGGAAAAAUGUUGAAAUCAUGAACAUUUUUUUUAGCUCGUGAACAUAUUUGAAACUAUGAACAUUUUUCAAAUUUGUGAACAUUUCUACAAAUUUUCGACCAUUUUCUAAAAUCAAGAAUAAUUUUUGAAUUCUGAACAAUUUAUACUAUUUGCAAACAUUUUUUAAUCAAUUUUCUUAAAUCGGCGAACAUUUCUAGAAUCGACGAACAUUUUCUUUGAAAUUGGUGGAACGAUUUUAGAAAUUCACGCAUUUUUUGAUUUAACAAACAUUAUUUUAAAUGCAUGAUCACUUUUUGAAUCAGCAAACAUUUAUGGAUGAAUAAACUAUUUUGUAAGUCACGAACAGUUUUUGAAUUUUAGGAUAUUUUUCUAUUCAUACACAAUUUUUGAAUUGGUGAGAUUUUGUUAAAUUUCAUUAACAUUUUUUAAUACACAAAUUUCAAAAAAUCAUGAUUUUUUUUGAAUUAGCAAACAUUUGUUUUCAAAAUUUCGUUUUUUUACAAAAUCGCGAACAUUUUUUAAAUCCACAAACAUUUUAUGAUUUAUGAAUUUUUUUUCUAAAUUAUCAUUGUUUAAUUUUUUACCGAAACCUUGUGCAGUAUGGUACGUUUUAAUACACAAGCCACAAACCACGUUGGACCUCCCAAACGUGUAUUAAUUUUUUACCGAAACGUGUAUUAAUACACAAGCCACAAGCCACAAGCCACAAACGUGUAUUAAUUUUUUACCGAAACCUUGUGCAGUAUGGACCUCCUAAAUCCUAAACCAAUUUAUGAUUUAUGCAGUAUGGACCUCCCAAACAGGCACGCUGUGUCUUCAAUCUGUGCGCUGAGUGUGGUAUAGGAGGUCCAUACUGCAUUGGUUAGAUAUAGAUUGGUUUAGGAUUGUUUUGAGAGAAUAACAUGACUUAUUAUUAUCAUCGUUACAUAUAGUAUCUCCUGGAUGCGAUCUCGGAGACAUGAGCCUUCGGUUAAUAUUUGCAAUCACAAUAGAACAUGAGCCACGAUAUUCAACAAACGAAACAUACAGAAGAGAAACUCUUCACACUAAUCUUAUAUUCGCAAUCACCAUGCCUACUGACGAGUGGUCCAUAUUCGCAAUCACAAUUAGUAGACAAUCAUCAUGAAAUAAGGCCUUCCCUUUGUCUCGAGUGAGGUUGAUAACACAAUAUAUAUAUAUAUAGCAUUAUAACACCUAAAAAUCACGGACACACCAGAAAUUGCCGUUUUGGCAUCCUGAUACAACGGAUAUUCCGGGAUACUCGAAUUCAACAAUAUCAUCUGAUUUUUUAUUUAAGAAAAUUAUAGUGAUGCAUCAGGACACGUAUAUGUUCUCCACAUAAGGAAUGCACCCAGCCUCAAAGACAAUAGUGAAUGCGCCACCACCUCCUGGAUGAAAGCCGUCGCCGGCGACGCCUAGACUUGAUCGACGACCCUACCCCCAGCACCAGCAGCCUCUCCUUCCAGUCGCAGGUAACCUAACAAACUCUCCUCAUUCCUCAACUCCUUCCUCUUUUAUUCUUCUAAUUUUCUUCCAUUAAGCUGCUAGAUGUUGCUUGUUGGCCUGCUGCCCUUUGAAUGCUUGUGCCGCUGUUGCUGCUCGCUUGCAUAGUUGAAUCAAUGCUUAUGCUUGUGCCGUUGUUCAAUCUUGAACAACGAAUGCUUGAUUGGUGAUUGACUGCUUGUUGUUAGCUUGUUAGGUAGCAUGACAGUUGGGAGCGGCACAAUCGGUAGCCAAUCUUCCAUGGGCGAGAGUGACGGGCAGCCUGGUCAUGGUGUUGUAAUCCCGAGUAUCUUUUGUGGGCUUAUGUGGAGAAUCUUGUACCACAAACAUAUGUUGGUGCUCUUGUUGAUGCUGCCUCGUGUAACCGUGGAGGAAACACAAAAUUUUGUUGCAAUUUCUGUAACAAAAUCUACCCAGGCAGUUAUUCAAGAGUGAGGCUUCAUCGUCUUCAGAUAAAAAAAGAAAGAUAUAGCAACCCGUGACAAAAUUCCACAUCCUGCCUUUGAACAAAUUUGCAAGGAAGGCAUAGCAGCCCAUCAACUCAUUGCACAUGGUGCAAGCAUACAAUUCCUUUACCUCCCUUUAAUGCAUCUCUUCCAACAAGAAAAAGAAAGCAAACAACUACUGAAGAGAGUUUUAAUACUAAAUAUCUGACAACAAGCCGAUGCUCAUAUUGCUACAACAUUUUUUACUGCAUGAGUGUAAUUGUAUAACAAUCUUUUCCUUUAUUGUCAAGCAUGGUAAAAUUUAGUCUAUUGCUGAGUUGCUGACUGUAUGGUGGGUUUGUGCAUAUUACAGGGUUUCCAUUUAAUCUUGCAAGGAACCCUAACUUUAGGGCAACCAUCACCUUUGUUGUGAACAAUAGCUUGGGUGGGUAUGUGCCUCCUGGAUGCACUAAGGGCAAUUGCUCUUGAUCAAAGCGAAGAAGCAUAUUAAGAGGAGCCUAGAACCCAUCAAAUAUACCUAGCUGAACAAAUGAGUGACUAUUGCAACUAUUGGUUGGUAUGAACCUUAAAGGCGACCCAUUUUGAACUUCAUGGCAGUGACAGAAGGUGGCCCAAUGUUCUUAAAUGCAAUCGACACCAAGAGAGAGGUACGAUCAUAGUACCUACAUGAUUUAGUUUGUCUUCUGGUCCUAUUUUUGCCUAUAUUGCUUGACUUUUUGACUUGUUUUCAUUGCAAGACAAAAAGUAAGGAAUAUAUCUUUGGGGAGCUAAAGGAAGUGAUUGAGGAACUUGGAAGUUGGAGUUGGGAAUGUGGUUCAAGUGAUCGCUGAACAAUGCUGCAAAUUGUAAAGGUUCUUAGUGGAUGAUUGAAGCAAAGUACAAGGACAUCUUUUGGAUUCCUUGCGUUGUGCACACUCUAAAUGUUGCAUUGAAGAAUAUAUGUUAUCUGAAGAACAAUGAGGGAAAAAAUUUCCAUCUUCUCUUCAUCAAAGAUGUCGCUGAUGAUGCUUCUUUCAUAAUGAAUUUGUCAUAUGAACCAUGACAUGACGUUUUCUAUGUUCCUCAAUCUAGCAAACUCAAGAUCCCAAGUACCUGUGUGGGCUUAUGUGAAGAAGCUUGUACCAGAAACAUAUGUUGGUGGUGAUGCCGAUGCUGCCUCUUGUAGCCGUGGAGGAAACACAAAGUUUUAUUGCAUUUUCUAUAACAAAAUUUACCCAGGCAGUUAUUCAAGGGCGAGGCCUCAUCUUCUUUAGAUAACAACCUGUGAAAAAAAUUCCACACCCUACCUUUGAGCAACUUUGCAAGGAAGACAUAGGAUCCAAUCAAUCCAUUGCACAUGGUGCAACUAAGCAUACAAUUGCUUUACCUCCCCAUAAUGCAUCUGUUCCAACAAGAAAAAAAAGGCAAAUAGUUAUUGCGGAGAGUUUUAAUGUAGAAAUCCGCCACAAGCCGAUGCUCAUAUUUCUAAAACCUUUUCCAUGCAUGCCAGAAUUUGCCGAUUUGGCGUGCUGAUUCGGAGGGAUACAUGGACAUGGGGCCGUACGCGAAUACAACAGUAUCCCCCACGCUUUAGUUUAAAAAGAAAAGAAAAAUAUAGGAAAAUGGCGGGACACAUAGAUGACACGUUUGGGACACGACCUGGCCCAAAAAAAAAGCCUCGGCCCAAUAGCUAGCAGUGAACGCGUCACUGCAACCGGCGAUGCCUGGACAAAUCAACAUGGCCGAAAAAGGAGUGACUAUUGCGAUUCAUGGUUGGUCUGGUCCUUAAAGGAGACCCAUUUUAAACUACAUGGCAGUGACAGAAGGUUGUCCAAUGUUCUUAAAGACUAUGGCCAGCAAGGGAGAGGAAAACUCUCAGUACCUACGUAAUUUAUUUUGUCUUUUGGUCAUGUGUUGUUGCAUAUAUUGCUUGCUGACUUUCUCACUUAUCUUCGCACAUUCAAUCAUUCACUCCUUUAGUCUUCAGCCAUGAGAGAAUGAGACCAUCACUCCAUCAGUCAUUCUGUGCCUAUUUGCCAUUUGAACAUUUUGACUAUGUGGCCAUCUGAGCCUUAUUAGCUCCUAUUUAUCAUGUUCUUAGUAGACUAUGUGAUGUUGUCAACUAGUCAUGAUUUGUAUUUGUAAUAUGGUGCCACAUUGGGGUUGGUAGUUUGAGAACUGAGAUUUCUAAACCAUAUUGCAAUUAGGAGCCAAAUGCAUUGCAAAUUGGGCAAGCAAACUUCUUUACUAUUUUUCAUGUUUUCGUAUUGUCUUCAGAUUAUGCCUUAUACUCUUCUUUACUGUUUGAUGUGUUUUGCUAGAAGCAACUUGCAAUGACAUGGGGGGACGAGAAUCAAUCUAGGACUUGAUAAAACAGACAACAAAUGGGCAGUAUUCCGAUCUCUUUCUUAUUAGUCUUCUUUCUUAAGUCUUAUUACAUGGCAUAUUUUCAUUUUAUUUUAUAUAUACUCGCCGUAUCCCCAAAUGGUUGUUUUUGGAAAAUCCGUUAUCCCGUGUCCCCGUAUGUGUAUCCCCUUCUUUCAUCCAUGUGUCUGUGCUUUUUAGCUUAACAUUGACACUGCAAACAUUACAGAAAUCUCGUCAGACCACGGGAUCCAUAAAAUCCUAGCCCAGGGAUUUAUGAAAGAGUGCAACUUUAACAAUUAUAGGCGCUGUGCUAGUGGGCGGAGUCAACCGGAAAACUGAGGAAGGGGGAUCACAUAUCGUUAGUUGUUACGAGAAACCAACAAGUUGCGAUGUCUCUCUCAUUGUGGUCUUAAAAUAGUUACAUCGUUACAUGUUUCCCAUUACUAGGAAACUGUGGACGGUCUUAAAAUAGUUACAUGAGUCCCAUACAUGCUUACCAUUAUGAGGAAACUGUAGAUAGUCCGUAGGGAUGUCAACCGGGUCCCACAAUAAUUCUUUUUAAACCCACUAAUGAUUUGAUGGUCCAAAAAUUUUCUUUUUUGACGAAAAUGAACUAUGAAGCUAGCUAAAACUAACUGAGUGGGACUUAUGGACGUCAGUUAUUUGGCAUUUACAUCCCUAAUAGUCCACCACAACGCGAGAGACAUGGCGACUUUGUUGGCUGUUUCGAGGAAGGUGUCCGACUCUACCUUCCCGAGCAUUCGACCUUGAAGCUGGAUUUAUAUAGUAGGGCUUCCAUUCAAUCUUGCAAGGAAUCCCGACAUUAGGGCAGCCAUCACCUUUGUUGCGAACAUUAACCGGGCUGGGUAUGUGCCUCUGGGAUAUAAUGCAUCAGAGACAACUCAUUUUGACUAAGAGAAGAAGCUCAUUCAUAGGAGGCUAGAACCCGUCAAAUCUACAUGGCUAAACAAAGGAGUUACUAUUGCAACUGAUGGUUGUGUUGGGGAUCAUAGCAGAAAUUUAAAAUUUUCUACGCAUCACCAAGAUCAAUCUAUGGAGUAAUCUAGAAACGAGGGGAAGGGGAGUGCAUCUACAUACCCUUGUAGAUCGCUAAGCGGAAGCGUUGCAAGAACGCGGAUGAGGUAGUCGUACUCGUGGCGAUUCAGAUCGCGGUCGAUUCCGAUCUAAGUGCCGAACAACAGCGCCUCCGCGUUCAACACACGUGCAGCCCGGUGACGUCUCCCAUGCCUUGAUCCAGCAAGGAGAGAGGGAGAGGUUGGGGAAGACUCCGUCCAGCAGCAGCACGACGGCGUGGUGGUGGUGGAGGAGCGCGGUACUCCAGCAGGGCUUCGCCCACUACGAGAGACAAGGAGGGAGAGAGGUAGGGUUGCGCCUUGGGAGAGAGAGACUCAUGUGUUGGGCAGCCCCAAAACCUCCAAUAUAUAUAGGGGCAAGGGGAAGGGGGAGGCGCCCUAGGGUUUCCCCUAGGGGGGCGGCGGCCAGGGCAGAUGGGAUCUCCCCCUUGGGUGACUUGGCCCCCAAGCCAGGAGGUGGGAACCCUAGAUGGGGCGCCCCAAACCCGCUGGUCACGUGGGAAUAGGUGAGGGGGGCGCACAACCCCUUAGUGGGAUGGUUUGCCCCCUUCCCUUGGCCCAUGAAGCCCCCCAACACUUGCCGGGGCUCCUGAAAUAUCUUUCGGUCAUGCUGGUCAUCACCCGGUACCUCUGAAACACUUCCGGACUCCAAAACCCUUCGUCCAAUAUAUCAAUAUUCACCUCCGGACCAUUCCAGAACUCCUCGUGACGUCCGAGAUCUCAUCCGGGACUCCGAACAACAUUCGGUAACCGCGUACAUACCUUCCCUAUAACCCUAGCGUCAUCAAACCUUAAGUGUGUAGACCCUACGGGCUCGGGAAUCAUGCAGACAUGACCGAGACAUCUCUCUGGUCAAUAACCAACAGCGGGAUCUGGAUACCCAUGUUGGCUCCCACAUGUUCCACGAUGAUCUCAUCAGAUGAACCACGAUGUCAAGGAUUAAAUCAAUCCUGUAUACAAUUCCCUUUGUCUACUGGUAUGAUACUUGCCCGAGAUUCGAUCAUCGGUAUCCCGAUACCUUGUUCAAUCUCGUUACCGGCAAGUCUCUUUACUCAUUCCGUAACACAUCAUCCCGUGAUCAACUCCUUGGUCACAUUGUGCACAUUAUGAUGAUGUCCUACCGAGUGGGCCCAGAGAUACCUCUCCGUUACACGGAGUGACAAAUCCUAGUCUCGAUUCGUGCGAACCCAAUAGACACUUUCGGAGAUACCCGUAGUGCACCUUUAUAGCCACCCAGUUACGUUGUGACGUUUGGUACACCCAAAGCAUUCCUACAGUAUCCGGGAGUUGCACAAUCUCAUGGUCUAAGGAAAUGAUACUUGACAUUAGAAAAGCUUUAGCAUACAAACUACACGAUCUUGUGCUAGGCUUAGGAUUGGGUCUUGUCCAUCACAUCAUUCUCCUAAUGAUGUGAUCCCUUUAUCAACGACAUCCAAUGUCCAUGGUCAGGAAACCGUAACCAUCUAUUGAUCAACGAGCUAGUCAACUAGAGGCUUACUAGGGACAUGGUGUUGUCUAUGUAUCCACACAUGUAUCUGAGUUUCCUAUCAAUACAAUUCUAGCAUGGAUAAUAAACAAUUAUCAUGAACAAGGAAAUAUAAUAAUAAUAACUAAUUUAUUAUUGCGUCUAGGGCAUAUUUCCAACAGUCUCCCACUUGCACUAGAGUCAAUAAUCCAGUUCACAUCGCUAUGUGAUUAACACUCAAGGUCACAUCGCCAUGUGACUAACACCAAAGACUUUACUAGAGUCAAUAAUCUAGUUCACAUUACCAUGUGAUUAACACUCAAUGAGUUAUGGGUUUGAUCAUGUUAUGCUUGUGAGAGAUGUUAUAGUCAACGGGUCUGCAACAAUCAGAUCCACAUGUACUUCACAAAACUUUAUGUCAUAUCGUAGAUGCUGCUACCACGUUCCACUUGGAGCUAUUCCAAAUGGUUGCUCCAUUAUACAUAUCCGGUUUUUCUACUCAUAGUCAUCCGGAUAGGUGUUAAAGCUUGCAUCGACGUAACUCUUAACGUCGAACUCUUUAUCACCUCCAUAACCGAGAAAUAUUUUCUUAUUCCUCUAAGGAUAAUUUUGACCACUGUCCAGUUAUCCACUCCUGGAUCACCUUUGUACCCUCUUGCCAGACAUGUGGCAAGGCACAAAUCAGGUGCGGUACUCAGCAUGGCAUAUCGUAUAGAGCCUAUGACAAAAGCAUAGGGGACGACCUUCAUCCUUCCUCUUUCUUCUGCCGUGGUCAAGCUUUGAGUCUUACUCAACUUCACACCUUACAACUCAGGUAAGAAUCCCUUCUUUGACUGAUCUAUUUUGAACUCGUUCAAAAUCAUGUCAAGGUGUGCGUUCUUUGAAAGUAUCAUCAGGCAUCUUGAUCUAUCUCUAUAGAUCUUGAUGCCCAAUAUGUAAGCAGCUUUAUUCAGGUCUUCCUUUGAAAAUCACUCUUCAAACAACCGUUUAUGCUUUCCAGAAAUUCUACAUUAUUUCAGAUCAACAAUAUGUCAUCCACAUAUACUUAUCAGAAAUGUUGUAGUGCUCCCACUCACCUUCUUGUAAAUACAAGUUUCUAGCAAACAUUGUAUAAACCUAAAAGCUUUGACCACUCCAUCAAAGCAUACAUUCCGACUUCGAGAUGCUUGCUCUAGUCCAUAGAAGGAUCGCUGGAGCCAGCAUACCUUUUAGCAUCCUUAGGAUCGACAAAACCUUUUAUUGUAUCACAUACAACUUUUCUUAUGAAAACUGGUAAGAAAACUUGUUUUGACAUCCAUCUGUCAGAUUUCAUAAUCAAAAAAUACAACUAAUGCUAACAUGAUUUCGACGGACUUAAACAUCGCUACGGGUGAGAAAAUCUCAUCGUAGUCAACUCCUUGAACUUGUGGAAAGACUCUUUGCCACAAGUCGAGCUUCAUAGACGGUAACAUUACCGUCCACGUCUGUCUUCUUCUUAAAGAUCCAUUUAUCUCAAUGGCUUGCCGAUCAUCAGGCAAGUCCACCAAAGUCCAUGCUUUGUUCUGAUACAUGGAUCCUAUCUCGGAUUUCAUGGCUUCUAACCAUUUGUCGGAAUAUGGGCCCACCAUCGCUUCUCCAUAGCUCGUAGGUUCAUUGUUGUCCAACAUGAUAUCUAAGACAGGAUCACCGUACCACUCAGGAGUAGUACAUAUCCUUGUCGACCUACGAGGUUUGAUAGCAACUUGAUCUGAAGCUUCAUGAUCACUAUCAUUAACUUCCUCUUCAAACGACGUAGGCGCCACAUAAACAUCUUUCUGUAUUGCAGCACUUUCCGGUUGAAGUAGAGGUUCAACAACCUCAUCAAGUUCUAUCUUCCUCCCACUCAAUUCUUUCGAGAGAAACUCCUUCUCGAGAAAUACUUUGCCCUCGGAUCUGAGAUAGAAGGUAUACCCAACUAUUACCUUUGGGUAUCCUAUGAAGAUGUAUUUGUCCGCUUUGGGUUCGAGCUUUUCCGGCUGAAGCCUUAAGCAUCGCAGUACCAAAUAUUAAGAAACGACAACUUUGGUUUCUUGCCAAACCAAUGUUCAUACGACGUCGUCUCAACGGACUUAGAUGGUGCCCUAUCUAAAGUGAAUGCAGUUGUCUCUAACACAUAACCUCAAAAUGAUAGCGGUAGAUCGGUAAGAGACAUCAUAGAUCGCACCAUAUCUCAUAAGGUUCAAUUACGACGUCCGGACACGCCAUUACGCUGUGGUGUUCCAGGUGGUGUCAACUGUGAAACAAUUUCACAAUGUGUUAAGUGAUUGCCAAACUCAUAACUCAGAAAUUCUCCAUCGAUCAGAUCGUAGGAAUUUGAUCUUCUUGUUAUGAUGGUUCUUAACUUCACUCUGAAAUUGCUUGAACUUUUCAAACGUUUCAGACUUGUGCUUAAUUAAGUAAAUAUACGCAUAUCUACUCAAAUCGUCGGUGAAGAUGAGAAAAUAGCGAUGUCCACCGCACGCCUCAAUUCUUAUUGGAUCACACACAUCAGCAUGUACGAUUUCCAACAAGUCACUUGCCUAUUUCAUUGUUCCUGAAAACGGGGUCUUAGUCAUCCUGCCCAUGAGGCAUGGCUCGCAUGUGUCAAGCGAUUCAAAAUCAAGUGACUCCAAACAUCCAUCGACAUGGAGUUUCUUCAUGCAUCUUACACCAAUAUGACCUAAGCGGCAGUGCCACAAGAAAGUGGCACUAUCAUUAUUAACUCUACAUCUUUUGGCGUGAACAUGUGUAUUACCAUGAUAAUCCCCAAGUGCAAGGAAUCGUCGUAGCACUUUCCAAAGGUGGAAGUGAUAAGUAUGGAGUGUCGAACCCACAAGGAGCUAAAGGUAAGAUCAAUAUUCUCUCAAGCCCUAUCUGCCACUGAUACGACUCUACGUGCACCGAACGUUUACUUCCAACUAGCAAUGAGAAAUAAAACUACGUUGUGGAUAUGAAGAGGAUAACUUUGCAUGGUAUCGGAGAGCUAAAACAUAAAAGUAGGUGCUGUUAUCAUAAGGUUAGAAUAUAUUACUUAGUAUUAUAAAUAGCGAGUGUGGAAUAAUGGUGGAUCGGUGUGCGGAAUUGUCCUAGGCAAUUGUUAACAAGACCGGUAAUCACUAUUGCAGUUUCAUAUGAGGGAGAGGCAUAAGCUAACAUACUUUCUCUACUUGGAUCAUAUGCACUCAUGAUUGGAACUCUAGCAAGCAUCCACAACUACUAAAUAUCAUUAAGGUAAAACCCAACCAUAGCAUUAAAGCAUCAAGUCCUCUUUAUUCCCAUACGCAACAUCCCUCUUACUCGGGUUUGUGCUUCUGUUCACUCACCAACCCACUAUAAGCGAAUCAUGAACGUAUUGCAACACCCUACAGCGGGAACCCCUCACGCUUGCACGACACGGAGGGCACCAUAGGAUAGCACCAAAGUAAAACAUACAACUCAUACCAAUCUAGAUCAUUAAUCACCCAAAGACAAAAGAUAUCUACUCAAAACAUCAUAGGAUGGCAACACAUCAUUGGAUCAUAAUAUGUGGCAUAAAGCACCAUGUUCAAGUAGGGGAUUACAGCGGUGUGCGGGAGAGUGGACUGUGUAAAAGAGAUGAGGAUGGUGAUGAUGAUGGUGACGUUGAUGAAGACGAUCACCGUGGUGAUGAUUCCCCUCCCGAUGGCACUCCGGCGCCACCGGAAGAGAGGAGGAGAGGUUCUCUCCCUUGUGCUUCCUCCUCCAUGGCCUCCACCUUCUGGUCCUUGGCCUUCAUGGUGAUGAAGACCCCUCCGGGAUACUCCUCCAUGGCCACCGGUGAUGAUGGCCCCCUCCGGCAGGGUGCCGGAGAGGGCCUAGAUUGACUUCUCGUGGCUACAGAGGCUUGCGGAGGCGGAACUUCCGAUCUAAUCUCCGUUUUGGAAGUUUUAGGGUACGAGAGUAUAUAUGGGUGCAGGAGGUACAUCGGUGGACUUCCAGGCUGUCCACGAGGUAGGGGGGCGCGCCCCAGGGGGGUGGGCGCGCCCCCCACCCUCGUGGGCAGCCCGGGACUCCCCUGGUGAUCUUCCGGUACUCCAUGGGCUUCUUCUGGUCCAAAAACAGGUUCCGUGGAGUUUCAGGUCUUUUGGACUCCGUUUGAUAUUCCUUUUCUUCGGAACACUGAAAUAGGCAAAAAACAGCAAAUCUGGGCUGGGCCUCCGGUUAAUAGGUUAGUCCCAAAAAUAAUAUAAAAGUGGAUAAUAAAGCCCAAUAUUGCCCAAAACAGUAGAUAAUAUAGCAUGGAGCAAUCAAAAAUUAUAGAUACGUUGGAGACGUAUCAUACCACGACCGAGAUUCAAUGAACCAUUCAUAUAGGGUGCAUGACCAUGAAAGGUAUUAUUCAUGUAAACAGAAUAACCAUUAUUCUCUAACCUAAAUGAAUAACCGUAUUGCAAUGAACAUGAUCUAAUCAUAUUCAUGCCCGUAGACACCUGAUAACAUUUAUCUAGGUUCAAUACUAAUCCCGAAGGCAGAUGGAGCGUGCGAUGGUGAUCUCAUCAACUUUGGAAACACUUCCAACACACAUCGUCACCUCGCCCUUAGCCAGUCUCCGUUUAGUCCGUAGCUUUUGCUUCAAGUCACCAAUAAUAGCAACUGAACCGGUAUCCAAUACCCAGGUGCUACCAGGAGUACUAGUAAGGUACACAUUAAUAAUGUUGGGGAACGUUGCAGAAAACAAAAAAAAUUUCUAUGGUUUCACCAAGAUCCAUCUAUGAGUUCAUCUAGCAAACAAGUGAUUGGAUUGCAUCUACAUACCUUUGUAGAUCGCGAGCGGAAGCGUUCAAAGAACGGGGAUGAGGUAGUCGUACACAACGUGAUCCAAAUCACCGAUGACCAAGCGCCGAACGGACGGCACCUCCGCGUUCAACACACGUACGGAGAGGAUGAUGUCUCCUCCUUCUUGAUCCAGCAAGGGGGGAGGAGAGGUUGAUGAAGAUCCAGCAGCACGACGGCGUGGUGGUGGAUGCAGGGCGUCACAGUAGCAGGGCUUCGCCGUGUACUACGAGGGAGAGAGGUGUAGCAGGGGAGAGGGAGGCGCCAGGGAUGCAGGGUGCGGAUGCCCCCCUCCCCCCUCCCUUUAUAUAGGCCCCCUAGGGGGGCGCCGGCCCUAGGAGAUGGGAUCUCCUAGGGGGGCGGCGGCCAGGGCUGGAGUGGCCCCCAAGCCAAGGUGGGGCGCCCCCCCACCCCUAGGGUUUCAACCCUAGGCGCAUGGGGUGGGCCUAGGGGGGCGCACCAGCCCACUAUGGGCUGGUUCCCCUCCCCACUUUGGCCCAUGGGGCCCUUCGGGAUGGGUGGCCCCACCCGGUGGACCCCCGGGACCCUUCCGGUGGUCCCGGUACAAUACCGGUGACCCCGAAACUUGCCCCGAUGGCCGAAACAGCACUUCCUAUAUAUAAUUCUUUACCUCCGGACUAUUCCGAAACUCCUCGUGACGUCCGGGAUCUCAUCCGGGACUCCAAAAAACAUUCGGGUUACUGCAUAUACAUAUCUUCACAACCCUAGCGUCACCGAACCUUAAGUGUGUAGACCCUACGGGUUCAGGAGACAUGUAGACAUGACCGAGAUCGCUCUCCGGUCAAUAACCAAUAGCGGGAUCUGGAUACCCAUGUUGGCUCCCACAUGCUCCUCGAUGAUCUCAUCGGAUGAACCACGAUGUCGAGGAUUCAAACAACCCCGUAUACAAUUCCCUUCGUCAAUCGGUAUGUUACUUGCCAGAGAUUCGAUCGUCGGUAUCCCAAUACCUCGUUCAAUCUCGUUACAGGCAAAUCACUUUACUCGUACCGUAAUGCAUGAUACCGUGACCAGACACUUGGUCACUUUGAGCUUGUAAUGAUGAUGCAUUACCGAGUGGGCCCAGUGAUACCUCUCCGUCAUACAGAGUGACAAAUCCCAGUCUCGAUCCGUGUCAACCCAACAGACACUUUCGGAGAUACCCGUAGUAUACCUUUAUAGUCACCCAGUUACGUUGUGACGUUUGGUACACCCAAAGCACUCCUACGGUAUCCGGGAGUUACACAAUCUCAUGGUCUAAGGAAAUGAUACUUGACAUUGGAAAACUCUAGCAAACGAACUAUACGAUCUUAUGCUAUGUUUAGGAUUGGGUCUUGUCCAUCACAUCAUUCUCUUAAUGAUGUGAUCUCGUUAUCAAUGACAUCCAAUGUCCAUAGUCAGGAAACCAUGACUAUCUGUUGAUCAACGAGCUAGUCAACUAGAGGCUUACUAGGGACAUGUUGGUGUCUGUUAUUCACACAUGUAUUACGAUUUUCGGAUAACACAAUUAUAGCAUGAAUAAAGACAAUUAUCAUGAACAAGGAAAUAUAAUAAUAAUGCUUUUAUUAUUGCCUCUAGGGCAUAUUUCCAACAGUCUCCCACUUGCACUAGAGUCAAUAAUCUAGUUACAUUGUGAUGAAUCGAACACCUGUGGAAUUCUGGUGUUGAUCAUGUUUUGCUCUAGGGAGAGGUUUAGUCAACGGAUCUGCUACAUUCAGGUCCGUAUGUACUUUACAAAUAUCUAUGUCUCCAUCUUGAACAUUUUCACGAAUGGAGUUGAAGCGACGCUUGAUGUGCCUUGUCUUCUUGUGAAACCUGGGCUCCUUGGCAAGUGCAAUAGCUCCAGUGUUGUCACAGAAGAGUUUGAUUGGCCCCGACGCAUUGGGUAUGACUCCUAGGUCGGUGAUGAACUCCUUCACCCAUAUUGCUUCAUGUGCUGCCUCCGAGGCUGCCAUGUACUCCGCUUCACAUGUAGAUCCCGCCACGACGCUCUGCUUGCAACUGCACCAGCUUACUGCCCCACCAUUCAAAAUAUACACGUAUCCGGUUUGAGACUUAGAGUCAUCCAGAUCUGUGUCGAAGCUAGCAUCGACGUAACCCUUUACGACGAGCUCUUCGUCACCUCCAUAAACGAGAAACAUUUCCUUAGUCCUUUUCAGGUACUUCAGGAUAUUCUUGACCGCUGUCCAGUGUUCCUUGCCGGGAUUACUUUGGUAACUUCCUACCAAACUUACGGCAAGGUUUACAUCAGGUCUGGUACACAGCAUGUCAUACAUAAUAGAACCUAUGGCUGAGGCAUAGGGGAUGACACUCAUCUCUUCUAUAUCUUCUGCCGUGGUCGGACAUUGAGCAGAGCUCAAUUUCACACCUUGUAACACAGGCAAGAACCCCUUCUUAGACUGAUCCAUAUUGAAUUUCUUCAAUAUCUUAUCAAGGUAUGUGCUUUGUGAAAGACCUAUGAGGCGUCUCGAUCUAUCUCUAUAGAUUUUGAUGCCUAAUAUAUAAGCAGCUUCUCCAAGGUCCUUCAUUGAAAAACUCUUAUUCAAGUAGGCCUUGAUGCUGUCCAAGAGUUCUAUAUCAUUUCAAAAGCAUGUCAUCUACAUAUAGUAUGAGAAAUGCUACAGAGCUCCCACUCACUUUCUUGUAAACGCAGGCUUCUCCAUAAGUCUGCGUAAACCCAAACGCUUUGAUCAUCUCAUCAAAGCGAAUGUUCCAACUCCGAGAUGCUUGCACCAGCCCAUAAAUCGAGCGUUGGAGCUUGCACACCUUGUCAGCAUUCUUAGGAUCGACAAAACCUUCCGGCUGCAUCAUAUACAAUUCUUCCUUAAGGAAACCAUUAAGGAAUGCCGUUUUGACGUCCAUUUGCCAUAUCUCAUAAUCGUAGAAUGCGGCAAUUGCUAACAUGAUUCGGACGGACUUUAGCUUCGCUACCGGUGAGAAAGUCUCAUCGUAGUCAACCCCUUGAACUUGUCGAUAACCCUUAGCGACAAGCCGAGCUUUAUAGAUAGUCACAUUACCAUCCGCGUCUGUCUUCUUCUUAAAGAUCCAUUUAUUUUCUAUGGCUCGCCGUUCAACGGGCAAGUCAGUCAAAGUCCAUACUUCGUUUUCAUACAUGGAUCCUAUCUCGGAUUUCAUGGCUUCUAGCCAUUUGUCGGAAUCCAGGCCCGCCAUCGCUUCUUUGUAGUUCGAAGGUUCACCGUUGUCUAACAACAUGAUUUCCAAGACAGGGUUGCCGUACCCCUCUGGUGCGGAACGUGUCCUUGUGGACCUUCGAAUUUCAGUAGGAGCUUGAUCAGAAGUAUCUUUAUCAUUAUCAUUAACUUCCUCUCUAGUCGGUGCAGGCACCUCAGGAACAUUUUCUUGAGUUGCGCCAUUUUCCGGUUCAAGAGGUAAUACUUCAUCAAGUUCCACUUUCCUCCCACUUACUUCUUUCGAGAGAAACUCUUUCUCUAGAAAGGAUCCAUUCUUGGCAACAAAGAUCUUGCCUUCGGAUCUGAGGUAGAAGGUAUACCCAAUAGUUUCUUUAGGGUAUCCUAUGAAGACGCAUUUUUCCGACUUGGGUUCGAACUUUUCAGGUUGAAGUUUCUUGACAUAAGCAUCGCAUCCCCAAACUUUUAGAAACAACAGCUUAGGUUUCUUCCCAAACCAUAAUUCAUACGGUGUCGUCUCAACGGAUUUCGACGGAGCCCUAUUUAAAGUGAAUGCGGCAGUCUCUAAAGCAUAGCCCCAAAAAGAUAGCGGUAAAUCGGUAAGAGACAUCAUAGAUCGCACCAUAUCUAAUAGAGUGCGAUUACGACGUUUGGACACACCAUUACGCUGAGGUGUUCCAGGCGGCGUGAGUUGUGAAACUAUUCCACAUUUUCUUAAGUGUGUGCCAAAUUCAUGACUCAAGUAUUCUCCUCCACGAUCUGAUCAUAUGAACUUGAUUUUCCUGUCACAUUGAUUUUCAACCUCACUCUGAAAUUCCUUGAACUUUUCAAAGGUUUCAGACUUGUGUUUCGUUAAGUAGACGUACACAUAUCUACUCAAGUCAUCAGUGAGGGUGAGAACAUAACGAUAGCCACCGCGAGCCUCAACUCUCAUUGGACCGCACACAUCAGUAUGUAUGAUUUCCAAUAAGUUGGUUGCUCGCUCCAUUGUUCCUGAGAACGGAGUCUUGGUCAUUUUUCCCAUGAGGCAUGGUUCGCACGUGUCAAAUGAUUCAUAAUCAAGAGACUCUAAAAGUCCAUCUGCAUGGAGCUUCUUCAUGCGUUUGACACCUAUGUGACCAAGGCGGCAGUGCCACAAGUAUGUGGGACUAUCAUUAUCAACCUUACAUCUUUUAGUAUUCACACUAUGAACAUGUGUAGCAUUACGCUCGAGAUUCAUUAAGAAUAAACCAUUCACCAUAGGAGCAUGACCAUAAAACAUAUCUCUCAUAUAAAUAGAACAACCAUUAUUCUCGGAUUUAAAUGAGUAGCCAUCUCGAAUUAAACGAGAUCCCGAUACAAUGUUCAUGCUCAAAGCUGGCACUAAAUAACAAUUAUUAAGGUUUAAAACUAAUCCCGAAGGCAAAUGAAGAGGCAGCGUGCCGACGGCGAUCACAUCGACCUUGGAACCAUUCCCGACGCGCAUCGUCACCUCAUCCUUCGCCAGUCUCCGCUUAUUCCGCAGCUCCUGCUUUGAGUUACAAAUGUGAGCAACUGCACCGGUAUCAAAUACCCAAGAGCUACUACGAGUACUGGUAAGGUACACAUCAAUUACAUGUAUAUCACAUAUACCUUUUGUUUUGCCGGCCUUCUUGUCUGCUAAGUAUUUGGGGGCAAUUCCGCUUCCAGUGACCACUUCCCUUGCAAUAAAAGCACUCAGUCUCGGGCUUGGGUCCAUUCUUAGGCUUCUUCCCGGCAGCUUGCUUGCCGGGCGCGGCAACUUCCUUGCCGUCCUUCUUGAAGUUCUUUUUACCCUUGCCCUUCUUGAACUUAGUGGUUUUAUUCACCAUCAACACUUGAUGUUCCUUCUUGACUUCUACCUCUGCUGAUUUCAGCAUAGCAAAUACUUCAGGAAUGGUCUUUUCCAUCCCCUGCAUAUUGAAGUUCAUCACAAAGCUCUUGUAGCUUGGUGGAAGCGACUGGAGGAUUCUGUCAAUGACCGCGUCGUCCGGGAUAUUAACUCUCAGCUGAGUCAAACGGUUAUGUAACCCAGACAUAGUGAGUAUGUGCUCACUGAUAGAACUAUUUUCCUCCAUCUUACAACUAAAGAAUUUGUCAGAGACUUCAUAUCUCUCGACCCGGGCAUGAGCUUGGAAAACCAUUUUCAGCUCUUCGAACAUUUCAUAUGCUCCAUGUCUCUCAAAACGCUUUUGGAGCCCCGGCUCUAAGCUGUAAAGCAUGCCGCACUGAACGAGGGAGUAGUCAUCGGUACGUGCCUGCCAAGCGUUCAUAACAUCUUGUUCUCCAGGGAGAAUAGGUGCGUCACCCAGCGGUGCUUGUAGGACAUAAUCUUUCUUGGCAGCUAUAAGGAUGAUCCUCAGGUUCCGGACCCAGUCCGUGUAGUUGCUGCCAUCGUCUUUCAGCUUGGUUUUCUCUAGGAACGUGUUGAAGUUGAGGAUUACGUUGGCCAUUUGAUCUACAAGACAUAUUGUAAAUAUUUUAGACUAAGUUCAUGAUAAUUAAGUUCAUCUAAUCAAAUUAUUUAAUGAACUCCCACUUAGAUAGACAUCCCUCUUCUAGUCAUCUAAGUAUAACAUGAUUCGAGUUAACUAGGUUGUGUCCGAUCAUCACGUGAGACAGACUAGUCAACGUCGGUGAACAUCUUCAUGUUGAUCGUAUCUUCUAUAUGACUCAUGCUCGACCUUUCGGUCUUCUGUGUUCCGAGGCCAUGUCUGUACAUGCUAGGCUCGUCAAGUCAACCUAAGUGUUUGCAUGUGUAAAUCUGUUUUACACCCGUUGUAUGUGAACGUUAGAAUCUAUCACACCCGAUCAUCACAUGGUGCUUCGAAACAACUAACUGUCGCAACGGUGCACAGUUAGGGGGAACACUUCUUGAAAUUAUUACGAGGGAUCAUCUUAUUUACUACCGUCGUUCUAAGUAAACAAGAUGCAAAAACAUGAUAAACAUCACAUGCAAUCAAAUAAUAAACGUGACAUGAUAUGGCCAAUAUCACAUAGCUCCUUUGAUCUCCAUCUUGGGGCUCCAUGAUCAUCUUGUCACCGGCUUGGCACCAUGAUCUCCAUCAUCAUGAUCUCCAUCAUCGUGUCUCCAUGAAGUUGCUCGCCAACUAUUACUUCUACUACUAUGGCUAACGCGUUUAGCAAUAAAGUAAAGUAAUUUACAUGGCGUUUCUCAAUGACACGCAGGUCAUACAAAAAAUAAAGACAACUCCUAUGGCUCCUGCCGGUUGUCAUACUCAUCGACAUGCAAGUCGUGAUUCCUAUUACAAUAGCAUGAACAUCUCAUACAUCACAUAUAGAUCAUUCAUCAUUCAUCACAACUUUGGCCAUAUCAUAUCACAAAGCACUUGCUGCAAAAACAAGUUAGACGUCCUCUAAUUGUUGUUGCAAGGUUUACGUGGCUGAAUUAGGGUUCUAGCAAGAACGUUUUCUUACCUACGUGAAAGCCACAACGUGAUUUGUCAACUUCUGUUUACCCUUCAUAAGGACCCUUUUCAUCGAAUCCGCUCCAACUAAAGUGGGAGAGACAGACACCCGCCAGCCACCUUAUGCAACUAGUGCAUGUUAGUCGGUGGAACCGGUCUCACGUAAGCGUACGUGUAAGGUUGGUCCGGGCCGCUUCAUCCCACAAUACCGCUGAAGCAAGAUAAGACUAGUAGCGGCAAGAAAGUUGACAACAUCUACGCCCACAACAAAUUGUGUUCUACUCGCGCAAGAAGAACUACGCAUAGACCUGGCUCAUGAUGCCACUGUUGGGGAACGUUGCAGAAAACAAAAAAAUUUCCUACGGUUUCACCAAGAUCCAUCUAUGAGUCCAUCUAGCAACGAGUGAUUGGAUUGCAUCUACAUACCUUUGUAGAUCGCGAGCGGAAGCGUUCAAAGAACGGGGAUGAGGUAGUCGUACACGACGUGAUCCAAAUCACCGAUGACCAAGCGCCGAACGGACGGCACCUCCGCGUUCAACACACGUACGGAGAGGAUGACGUCUCCUCCUUCUUGAUCCAGCAAGGGGGGAGGAGAGGUUGAUGGAGAUCCAGCAGCACGACGGCGUGGUGGUGGAUGCAGGGCGUCACAGUAGCAGGGCUUCACCGUGUACUACGAGGGAGAGAGGUGUAGCAGGGGAGAGGGAGGCGCCAGGGAUGCAGGGUGCGGCUGCCCCCCUCCCCCCUCCCUUUAUAUAGGCCCCCUAGGGGGGCGCCGGCCCUAGGAGAUGGGAUCUCCUAGGGGGGGCGGCAGCCAGGGCUGGAGUGGCCCCCAAGCCAAGGUGGGGCGCCCCCCACCCCUAGGGUUUCAACCCUAGGCGCAUGGGGUGGGCCUAGGGGGGCACACCAGCCCACUAUGGGCUAGUUCCCCUCCCCACUUUGGCCCAUGGGGCCCUCCGGGAUGGGUGGCCCCACCCGGUAGACCCCCGGGACCCUUCCGGUGGUCCUGGUACAAUACCGGUGACCCCGAAACUUGCCCCGAUGGCCGAAACAGCACUUCCUAUAUAUAAUUCUUUACCUCCGGACUAUUCCGAAACUCCUCGUGACGUUCGGGAUCUCAUCCGGGACUCCGACAACAUUCGGGUUACUGCAUAUACAUAUCUUCACAACCCUAGCGUCACCGAACCUUAAGUGUGUAGACCCUACGGGUUCGGGAGACAUGUAGACAUGACCGAGAUCGCUCUCCAGUCAAUAACCAACAGCGGAAUCUGGAUACCCAUGUUGGCUCCCACAUGCUCCUCGAUGAUCUCAUCGAUGAACCACGAUGUCGAGGAUUCAAACAACCCCGUAUACAAUUCCCUUCGUCAAUCGGUAUGUUACUUGCCCGAGAUUCGAUUGUCGGUAUCCCAAUACCUCGUUCAAUCUCGUUACAGGCAAAUCACUUUACUCGUACCGUAAUGCAUGAUCCCGUGACCAGACACUUGGUCACUUUGAGCUCAUAAUGAUGAUGCAUUACCGAGUGGGCCCAGUGAUACCUCUCCGUCAUACGGAGUGACAAAUCCCAGUCUCGAUCCGUGUAAACCCAACAGACACUUUCGGAGAUACCCGUAGUAUACCUUUAUAGUCACCCAGUUACGUUGUGACGUUUGGUACACCCAAAGCACUCCUACGGUAUCCGGGAGUUACACGAUCUCAUGGUCUAAGGAAAGGAUACUUGACAUUGGAAAACUCUAGCAAACGAACUAUACGAUCUUAUGCUAUGUUUAGGAUUGGGUCUUGUCCAUCACAUCAUUCUCUUAAUGAUGUGAUCUCGUUAUCAAUGACAUCCAAUGUCCAUAGUCAGGAAACCAUGACUAUCUAUUGAUCAACGAGCUAGUCAACUAGAGGCUUACUAGGGACAUGUUGGUGUCUGUUAUUCACACAUGUAUUACGAUUUCCGGAUAACACAAUUAUAGCAUGAAUAAAGACAAUUAUCAUGAACAAGGAAAUAUAAUAAUAAUGCUUUUAUUAUUGCUUCUAGGGCAUAUUUCCAACAAAUAACACGUAUAUACUUUGUUGAAGUUGCCAGCCUUGUUAUCUACCAUGCAUUUGGGGUAGUUCCGCUACCAGUGACCGUUCCCCUUACAAUAGAAGCACUUAGUCUCGGGUUUGGGUUCAACCUUGGGUUCCUUCACUGGAGCGGCAACUGGUUUGCCAUUCAUGAAGUUUUCCUUCUAGCCCUUGCCCUUCUUGAAACCAGUGGUCUUGUUAAACCAUCAACACUUGAUGCUCCUUCUUGAUUUCUACUUUUUGCGGUCUUAAGCACCGCAAACAGCUCCGGGAUCAUCUCCAUCCCUUGCAUGUCAUAGUUCAUCAUGAAGAUCUAGUAGCUUAGUGAUAGUGACUAGAGAAAUCUAUCAAUCACUAUCUUAUCUGGAAGUUUAACUCCCACUUGAUUCAAGUGAUUGUAGCACCCAGACAUUCUGAGCACCUGCUUACUAGCUGAGCUAUUCUCCUCCAUCUUGUAGGCAAAGAACUUGUCAGAGGUCUCAUACCUCUCAACACGGGCAUGAGCCUAAAAUCCCAAUUUCAGCUCUUGGAACAUCUCAUAUGUUCUAUGGCGUUCAAAACGUCAUUGGAAUGCCGAUUCUAUGCCGUAAAGUAUGGCGCACUUAACUAUCAAUUAGUCAUCAGGACGUAUCUGUCAGAUGUUCAUAACAUCCACAGACGACGCUAGAGGGGUUAGCACACCGAGCGGUGCAUCAAAGACAUAAGCCUUCUGUGUAGCAGUGAGGACACUCCUCAGGCAACGGACCUAGUCCACAUCAUUGCUUAUCUUUCAACUUAAUCUUUAUCUAGGAACAUAUUGAAACAGGGAGCUACAACGCGAGCUAUUGAUCUACAACCCUUUUUGCAAAGACAAUUUAGACUAUUGUUCAUGAUAAAUAAGUUCAUCUAAUCAAAUUAUAUAAUGAACUCCCACUCAGAUAGACAUCCCUCUAGUCAUCUAAGUGAUACAUGAUCCGAGUCAACUAGGCCGUGUCCGAUCAUCAUGUGAGAUGGACUAGUCAUCAUCGGUGAACAUUUUCAUGUUGAUCAUAUCUUCUAUACGACUCAUGUUCGACCUUUCGUUCUUUCGUGUUCCGAGGCCAUGUCUGUACAUGCUAGGCUCGUCAAGUCAACCUAAGUGUAUUACGUGUGUAGAUCUGGCUUACACCCGUUGUAUGCGAACGUUAGAACCUAUCACACCCGAUCAUCACAUGGUGCUUCGGAACAAUGGACCUUAGCAACGGUGCACAGUUAGGGGGAACACUUUCUUGAAAUUAUUGCGAGGGAUCAUCUUAUUUAAGCUACCGUCGUUCUAAGCAAAUAAGAUGUAAGACAUGAUAAACAUCACAUGCAAUCAAAUAGUAACAUGAUAUGGCCAAUAUCAUUUUGCUCCUUUUGAUCUCCAUCUUCGGGGCGCCAUGAUCAUCAUCGUCACCGGCAUGACACCAUGAUCUCCAUCAUCAUGAUCUCCAUCAUCGUGUCUUCAUGAAGUUGUCUCGUCAACUAUUACUUCUACUACUAUGGCUAACGGUUUAGCAAUAAAGUAAAGUAAUUACAUGACGUUUAUGUUGACACGCAGGUCAUAAAUAAAUUAAGACAACUCCUAUGGCUCCUGCUGGUUGUCAUGCUCAUCGACAUGCAAGUCGUGAUUCCUAUUACAAAAACAUGAUCAAUCUCAUACAUCACAUAUAUCAUUCAUCACAUCCUUUUGGCCAUAUCACAUCACACGGCAUAUGCUGCAAAAACAAGUUAGACGUCCUCUAAUUGUUGUUGCAAAUUUUUUUUUACAUGGCUGCUAUAGGUUUCUUAGCAAGAACGUUUCUUACCUACACCAAAACCACAACGUGAUAUGACAAUUUUGAUUUACCCUUCAUAAGGACCCUUUUCAUCGAAUCCGAUCCAACUAAAGUGGGAGAAACAGACACCCGCUAGGCACCUUAUGCAACUAGUGCAUGUCAGUCGGUGGAACCUGUCUCACGUAAGUGUACAUGUAAGGUCGAUCCGGGCCGCUUCAUCCCACGAUGCCGCCGAAUCAAGAUAAGACUAGUAACGGCAAGUAAAUUGACAAAAUCGAUGCCCACAACAACUUGUGUUCUACUCGUGCAUAGAAACUACGCAUAAACCUGGCUCUGAUACCACUGUUGGGGAUCGUAGCAGAAAUUUAAAAUUUUCUACGCAUCAUCAAGAUCAAUCUAUGGAGUAAUCUAGCAACGAGGGGAAGGGGAGUGCAUCUACAUACCCUUGUAGAUCGCUAAGCGGAAGCGUUGCAAGAACGCGGAUGAGGUAGUCGUACUCGUGGCGAUUCAGAUCAUGGUCGAUUCCGAUCUAAGCGCCGAACAACAGCGCCUCCGCGUUCAACACACGUGCAGCCCAGUGACGUCUCCCAUGCCUUGAUCCAGCAAGGAGAGAGGGAGAGGUUGGGGAAGAGUCCGUCCAGCAGCAGCACGACAACGUGGUGGUGGUGGAGGAGCGCGGUACUCCAGCAGGGCUUCGCCAAGCACUAUGAGAGACGAGGAGGGAGAGAGGUAGGGCUGCGCCUUGGGAGAGAGAGACUCGUGUGUUGGGCAGCCCCAAAACCUCCAAUAUAUAUAGGGGCAAGGGGAAGGGGGAGGCGCCCUAGGGUUUCCCCUAGGGGGGGCGGCGGCCAGGGCAGAUGGGAUCUCCCCCUUGGGUGACUUGGCCCCCAAGCCAAGAGGUGGGAACCCUAGAUGGGGCGCCCCAAACCCCCUGGUCACGUGGGAAUAGGUGAGGGGGGCGCACAGCCCCCUCGUACAUACCUUCCCUAUAACCCUAGCGUCAUCAAACCUUAAGUGUGUAGACCCUACGAGCUCGAGAAUCAUGCAGACAUGACCGAGACAUCUCUCUGGUCAAUAACCAACAGCGGGACCUGAAUACCCAUGUUGGCUCCCACAUGUUUCACAAUGAUCUUAUCGGAUGAACCAUGAUGUCAAGGAUUCAAUCAAUCCCGUAUACAAUUCCCUUUGUCUACUGGUAUGAUACUUGCCCGAGUUUCGAUCGUCGGUAUCCCGAUACCUUGUUCAAUCUCGUUACCGGCAAGUCUCUUUACUCGUUCGGUAACACAUCAUCCCAUGAUCAACUCCUUGGUCACAUUGUGCACAUUAUGAUGAUGUCCUACCGAGUGGGCCCAGAGAUACCUCUCCGUUACACGGAGUGACAAAUCCUAGUCUCGAUUCGUGCCAACCCAAUAGACACUUUCGGAGAUACCCGUAGUGCACCUUUAUAGCCACCCAGUUACGUUGUGAUGUUUGGUACACCCAAAGCAUUCCUACAGUAUCCGGGAGUUGCACAAUCUCAUGGUCUAAGGAAAUGAUACUUGACAUUAGAAAAGCUUUAGCAUACAAACUACACGAUCUUGUGCUAGGCUUAGGAUUGGGUCUUGUCCAUCACAUCAUUCUCCUAAUGAUGUGAUCCCGUUAUCAACGACAUCCAAUGUCCAUGGUCAGGAAACCGUAACCAUCUAUUGAUCAACAAGCUAGUCAACUAGAGGCUUACUAGGGACAUGGUGUUGUCUAUGUAUCCACACAUGUAUCUGAGUUUCCUAUCAAUACAAUUCUAGCAUGGAUAAGAAACGGUUAUCAUGAACAAGGAAAUAUAAUAAUAAUAACUAAUUUAUUAUUGCCUCUAGGGCAUAUUUCCAACAGGUUGGUAUAAUGCUCAAAGGCGACACAUUUUAAACUUCAUGGUAGUGACAAAGGUGGUCCAAUGUUCUUAAAGGCAAUUUUCAUCGAGGGGGAGGUAAAAUGUUAGUACCUAGGUAAUUUAGUUUGUCUUUUUGUUUGAUUUGUUGCAUAUAUUGCUUGUUGACCUUUUGACUUGUCUUCAUUGCUAGAUAAAAAGUAAUUAAUAUACCUUUGAGAAGCUAAAGGAAGUGAUUGAGGAAGUUGGAGCUGAGAAUGUGAUUCGAGUGGUCAUCGUCAGUGCUUUUGAAGCAAAGUACAAGAGCAUCCCUAAAUGGCAUAUUUUUGGUCACCGAAAAUACUCUAUAUUACAUGCCAUUCUUUUAUUUUAUAUUAUAUAUACUCACUGUAUCCCUGAAUAUUUUUGUUGGGAAAUGACGUAUCCCAUGUCCUUGUAUACAUACCCCCUAUCUUUCUGUCCCCAUGUUCGUGCUUUUUAGAAUAAAGCUCAAAGGGUGAAGGAGCGUUUUCUCAAUGAUCCGUGGUGGGAUAGAAUUGAACACAAUGUUUCUUCCACCGACCCUAUUUAUGCAAUGAUAAAGGUUGGCCGACACGGGCAAGCCAUAUCUCCAUUUGAUUUAUGAAAUGUGGGAUUCCAUGAUAGAGAUGAUAAAGGAUUCUUGGCUUCUUGCAUCUUUCAUCAACAUGCUGAUUUUAUUUGUUCUCAUGUUCAUAGGUCAAAAUACCUAUCAUAUAUAUCGAUUUGAAGGAAAGUAGCAUCAUGAAGAGUGUAUCUUGUAUGGCAUUAUUAAAGAGAUCCUUGUUUCCCGUUGGACUAAGAGGCCUGGCUCGCUCACUAAAUCUAACGUAUAAUCUGAAGUGAUACAUAGAUGUUGUUGUUUCUUGUUUGUCAUUCAAAGUUCUCAACUUGAAGAUGCUUGUUGAUUUUAUUUACUUCAUAUCAUAAGUACUAUAGUCCAAGUUGGAUAUGAAAUCCUUGACCGUAUCAGCUCCAAUGAUGACCAUGAAGUUACAUAAAUGAGAAACAAAUGCUUUCAGAAGUUCUAUCUAGAUGAAGAUGAUUUCAAAACUAUCAAGAAAGAAAUUGCUGGCUUUGCUCUUUUCAUGAAUGCCUUUGAAAAUCUAGCUAUUGAAGAUAGAGCUGAUUUUGAACCUAAGCAAUGGUGGGGCACUCAUGGAGUAAGCACAAGGCUAUUAUUUUCAUUAGCAUUGAAGGUACUUGGGCAGCCUGAAUCUUCCUCUUCCCGUGAGAGGAACUGGAGCACAUAUGGUUUCAUCCAUAUUGCUACAAAAACAAGCUAACUCCUGCUCGAGCUUCUGAUUUGAUGUUCACACACAACAACCACCGCCUGCUUUCUAGGAAUUCUCAAGCAUAUCGAACUAGGGCAAGCCAAAUGUGGGACAUUGUGGGAGAUGAAGUUGAGACUUUUGUGGGUGUUGGCAUGCUUGAAGGUGCAGAUCUUCACUUGAUGGACCAUAAUUGGAGGAGGAAAUAAUUGAUUUUCUCACUUGAGUCGCCUGCUUCACACAUUCAAUCAUUCACUCAUCCUUUAGGCUUCAGCCAUGAGAGAAUGAGACCAUCACUCCAUCAGUCGUUCUCUCAUUUUAUAUUUCUAGCUGUUAUGUAAUGUACUUUUGAACUGCCUAUUUGCCAUUUGAACAGUUUGACUAUGUGGCCAUCUGAGCCUUGCUAGCUCGUAUUUAUCAUGUUCUUAGUAGACUAUAUGAUGUUGUCAACUAAUCAUGUGUUGUAUUUGUAAUAUGGUGUCACAUUGGGGUUGGUAGUUUGAGAACCGAGAUUGCUAAACCAUAUUGCAAAUGGGAACCAAAUGCAUUGCAAAUUGGGUAAGCAAACUUCUUUACUUUUUUUUCAUGUUUUCGUAUUGUCUUCUAAUUAUGUCUUCUACUCUUCUUUGCUGUUUGAUGUGUUUUGCAAGAUGGCAACUUGCAAUGACAUNNNNNNNNNNNNNNNNNNNNNNNNNNNNNNNNNNNNNNNNNNNNNNNNNNNNNNNNNNNNNNNNNNNNNNNNNNNNNNNNNNNNNNNNNNNNNNNNNNNNNNNNNNNNNNNNNNNNNNNNNNNNNNNNNNNNNNNNNNNNNNNNNNNNNNNNNNNNNNNNNNNNNNNNNNNNNNNNNNNNNNNNNNNNNNNNNNNNNNNNNNNNNNNNNNNNNNNNNNNNNNNNNNNAUCUAGGACUUGAUAAAACAGACAACAAAUGUGUAGUAUUCUGAUCUCUCUUAUUUAGUUUUCUUCCUUAACUCUUAUUACAUGCCAUAUUUUUAUUUUAUUUUAUAUAUACUCGCCAUAUCCCCGAAUGGUUGUUUUUGGAAAAUCCGGUAUCCCGUGUCCCCGUAUGUGUAUCCCCGCCUUUCGCCCAUGUGUUUGUGCUUUUUAGAUUAAUAUUAACAUUGCAAACAUUACAAAAAUCUCGUCAAACCACGAGAUCCACAAUUUCCUGGCUCGAGGGAUUUAUGAAAGUGUGCAACAUUAACAUUGAUAGGCACUGUGCUAGUAGGCGGCGGAGUCAACCGGAAAACCGACAAAGGGGAAUAACACAUGGUUGGUUGUUACGAGAAAUCAACAAGUUACGAUGCCUCUCUCAUUAUGAUCUUAAAAUAGUUACAUCGUUACAUGCUUCCCAUUACCAGGAAACCGUGGGUGGUCUUAAAAUAGAGUCCCGUACAUGCUUGCCAUUACGAGAAACUGUAGAUAGUGCACAGAGAUGUCAACCGGGUUCCAUUUCAUUCCGUUUAAAUCCACCAAUGAUCUAACAGUCCAGAAUUUUAGUUUUUUUCCGAGAAAAAUGAACUAUGAAAGUAGCUAAAAGUAACUAAACGGGACUUACAGACGCCACUUAUUUGCCAUUUACAUCCCUAAUAGUCCACCAUAACGCGAGAGACAUGGCGACUUUGUUGGUUGUUACGAGGAAGGUGGUCGACUCUACCUUCCCGAGUAUGCAUUCGACUUCGAAGCUGGAUUGAACUUGAAAACACAAAGCAAAAUCCGAGAUCGGCUUAGGAAAGAAUUUUUCUUGGUCAGAACAUCAAUUUUUUUUUAGAAAAAAACAUGGGCAACUUUUAGUUAACUAGUAAAAUUUAAAGGAAAAAAGGUUAAAAUUUAUAAAUAGAAGAAAAAAAAGACAUAACUAAAGUGGCUGGUCCAAAAACAGAAGAGCCUGCGUGGCCUUGGCCGCGGGCAAGCCUCUCUUUUUCCUCCUUCCCUCCGUCUAGGGCUUCCUCGCCGCCGCCGCCGCCGCCGCACCUCCUCCCCCUGCCGCGACCUCCCCUCUCCUCUCCCGCCGCCAGCUGCCCGAGCGUCAGGUGCUCACCUCCGACACUCCUCCGGCCGAAGCGCCCGCUCCCGCCGCCCGCCCGCUCCCAGCCAGUCAAAGGUAAUUUCUUUUUCUCCUCUCCGGCGAGAAGGUGCGAUUUUUGGACAUUGGCAUACAUGCUGAUUGUUCUUUCUGGGCGGUGUGUGUUGAUUCAAGGGCCUGCGCGAUGGAGGUUGGUAACGGGGGCGAUUCGGCCAUGGAGGUGGAGGCGGAAGUGAGCCCGUUCGCCGCGGCGGCAGCCUCCGGUUCCCCGCUCCCCGGCGGCGUGUCCUCCUCGGCCAGGCGGCUGGGCCUCAAGAACAGCAUCCAGACCAACUUCGGCGACGACUACGUCUUCCAGAUUGCUUCUUGGUCGGCAGCUUCCCCCCCUUUCCACCAGUUUGGCUGUAGAUCCUGUUCUACUUCGGUUCAGAUAAGAUUAGAAUGCUGUAGCUUCCAGCAAGUUUUUUCCUUCCCGUUGCUCAUAACUGAAUGAACCCGUUAAUAAAAACACAUGCUACAGUACUUGAUAUAUACUCCCUCUGUUCCAAAAUAGAUGACCCAACUUUGUACUAAAGUUAGUAUAAAGUUGAGUCAUCUAUUUUGGAACGGAGGGAGUAUAUAUUUGCUUCUAAUUUCGUAUAUCUUCUUGUGACAAGCCAGGAGAUCUCAACGCUCGCGGUUUCUCUGUCGACAAAUGCACUCAAGUUCUAUGCUCCAGCAACUGGACAGUAUCUGGGGGAAUGCACAGGGCAUACAGGGUCCAUCCAUGAGAUUGCCUUUUCGGCUCCGUCAUCGCCGCAGGUGAUAUGCUCUUGCUCUGGUGAUGGGACCAUCAGAGCCUGGGACACAAGGAGCUUCAAGCAGGUUUUUGUUUCCCUACUACGUCCUGAUUGUUGAAAAGUCAUGCUGGCUAUACAUUAGUAUCAUCUGAAUGUGCAUGACUGCAAAGUUUUGUCAAUACCUACAUAGUUUGAUUUUCUCUGGAUGUUACAUAUAUUCCAGGUCAUCAGUAUGUUUCUCAGUUUCCGCACUGUAGAUAUUUGUAUUGUUCCCAUAAAGACGCGAGACAUUAAUUGUUAAUUUUUUGAUGCUUGGUUUAGAUUGAGGUUGGCUCAUAUUCAUUAAAGUUUGAAUAUGCGCUAUUAUAUAUAGUUGAGUUUUUCUCUGUUCUAUUCACACUGGACCAUUAUUAAUUCGUUUCCCAUACAGAUGAAAUAUCAUGUUGUAAAGUAUAACCUGUAUGAUGCAAAUGGGGGUAGUGACUCUGUUAUUAAUUCUGGAAUAAAUACAUUGCAUUUAUAUGUUAAUCCUAGCCACAUACGAAUUCUUUCUGUGAUAACAUAAAAAUAUCCCCAAUUCCGUGUUCUGUUUUCAUAUUGUGAUUUUGUUUUAUGGGGUCCUGCUGCUACUGGACAUAAUCUCUUGAUUUUGUUCUACGUCUAUUCAUGAUUUUUUUAUACUUGAUUCACUGACAUAGUACUGGUCUGGUAUUUAAAUUCAGUGCACUGUAUAGAUGACUAGUGCUUCAGCUAUUUCUAAAUUAAAACAUACUUGCAUUUUCUGUAUCCAACCAUUCACUGUUCUCUGAAUGUCUGGCAGAUAUCUUUGCUAAAUGCUGGCCCCUCGCACGAAAUGUUUAGCUUCUCCUUUGGUGGAACAAGUGGUAACCUACUUGCUGCUGGUUCUAGUUCCAAGGUAAAGGAGCACUGUUCUUUCAUAUAUAGAGCCAUAUCUUUAACAGCUUUAGUUUAUCCAUAUUCACUCUGCACCUGCAACGGUUGGUGUAUGCUUAUAAUAUUUCUGUCCACCUUUGGUACCUGUGAUGGUCAAUGUAUGCUUCUAAUCUUUGUGAUGUAUGGGCGGUCAUGCUUGAAUGUCAUAUAUUGUAUACAUAAAUUGUAUGUCGAAGAAUUCGUGUUUUGUUGAGUUGUUUAUGUUCGAUUUCUCUUUCUUUCAGUUUCAAGAAUUAUAAUAGACAUGUUGUAAAAUAAUUGAAAAUAAUGAUUCAAUGCAAGGCCAUACCCCUUGGGAUAGCAUUCAGAGACAGAACCCAGAUAUCCCACCGAAUAUUCGGAUAUGAUUUAGACGCUAGCAUGAGAGUUAUCCAAAAAUUGAUUGUAUGCUAUAUCGGAUUGUGUCUUGAAAACUAUCACCCACACCUGGCCUAAGAAAUACUAGCUCAACAUUGUAUCGGCUGGCUUCACUGAACACACAGCCCAAAUAUGUGUGAUGCUAGCAUAAGUCCUGCUGUCAGUUAAGCGGGGCCUGCUAGUAAUACAAAAACAGUGGUACUGUUGUACCUUCUUCAUAUGAACUCCAAAUCAAGCAAAAUAUGGUUAUUUCACUUGGUUCAGCAUGAUGCCUGACAAAAUAUUUGCUACCAUCUCAAUUCAAUCAUCAUUAGCUGUAUUUCUUGGGCUAGGUGUUGAUUAACAUGUGAACAUCGUUAAGACAAAGUAUUGAACUAGCAAGGGUGGACAGUUGAGCCUUACCUGCAAAACAUACUUCAGAUUGUGCACUUUUGUUAGGCCAGGUUAUGAAUUUUGUGCCUAUUCAUCUCUAUACGUGGUAUAUGCUAGACUUUCGGGUGAAGCAAAGGACGUAUGCUCAAGCGAGUUGCUACCCUCAGCUGUGGUAGAGCUGCAAGCUGCCUACGAAUUAUCCUACACAUCUGAUUUCCUUGUAUGAUAAUUGCCAGUAUAGUUCAUGUUUUCCCAUAGCAAUGUCUUUUCAAUCAGAAUUUGUGUUUUUAUUUCAUAAAUAUGUACAUCUGAUAGAGCAAAAAAAGACAAGGUUUCAUGAGGGGUUAUUCAGGUUGAGUCUCACUAAAGUUGCUUGAUUGUAGGUUCUGUUGUGGGACUGGAGAAGUUCAAAACAGGUUGCCUGCUUAGAGGAAUCCCACAUGGACGAUGUAACCCAGGUAUGCAUUGUUCUACAGAGUUUUACGCGUUUUACAAUAAGACAAGCCUAACUUGCAUACCCCAUGUAUGUGGAUCCUUUGUUUUGUUAACUUGUUUGGUGACAUUGCUGUCUUCAGUGUUCAUACUUUUGCAUCUACUUCAUAUCGGCCACAUGAUAUUUAUCCACUAUUUCUCGAUUGGGUGGUUAUCAGUCAUUGUUGUGCUGAUUUACCGCUCUUUGUUGGACAGGUUCGAUUUGCACCAAAUCAACAGAGUAAACUCAUUUCUGCGGCAAUUGAUGGUUUAAUAUGCGUCUUCGACACUGAUGGUGAUAUCAAUGAGGACGAUCAUUUGCUAUCUGUAUGUGUUCUUUCUCUCCCUAUGUUGUGCUUUAAAUACUUAGGGAUUCAUGUAUAAUAGUUGAAAGGGCACGAUAUGUUAUCACUUGAGUACUAGUAUUUAACAGGUCUGCUUACAAGAUAUUUGUUGCAUUAUAUCUAUCAACUUUUUGGUGAUGGCCCUCAGAUAUUUGUUGUUCAAUAGGUUAUGAAUGCGGAGACUUCUGUUUCCAAGGUGGGUUUCUAUGGAAACAAGUAUCAGAAGCUUUGGUGUUUGACCCAUAUUGAAACACUAAGGUAAUUUUGUUCCACAUGAUGUUGUAAAAGAUUCUGAAAAUUAUUCAAGUGGCAAAGAAACCUAAACCUUCUUGGCCUUUGCUUUGAGAGUAUUUCUGACCGGUUCUCCGUUUUCCCUAUUAUGCACCCCCUACUUGUUUUACAGUUAAUUAAUAAGCACACAAGUUUACAUUAUGCUGUUUGCUAUUUAAUUAUCACAGCACUUGGGACUGGAAUGAUGGGACUAGAGAAUUGAAUAUAGAGAAUGCUCGUUCCCUGGCUAGUGAUAAGUGGAACCUUGACCAUGUGAGUACGCAAAACUGCUUAACCUUAUCUUGUACAUCCUAUUUCCAUCUUUUUAUUGAGUUCAGUAUAUGCUGAUCAUGGUUUGGUAUUGUUUAACAAGGAUUUUUUUGCAGUGUUUUUAUAUGACACGUCAACCGCGGGCUUACGCCGGCCUGAUUUUUUUUAGUGUUACAUGCACAUGUUCUUGUUUUCUCUUGACAAUUCAUUUAGCAUUCUGAAUUACUGUUAACUUCAUUUAAAUUUUAAAAUUUUAAUCUGACUGUAACACCCAUUUUUGGCAAAAAAAAACGAGAUUCAUCUGUGUAACACCACAACAACCAUUGUGACUUUUAGACAUCUCAGUGGGUGUGGCUUUGCUCUUAUUCUUGUCUUUAUCGUCAAUAGGCGUCCUUGCUUGCAAGUACCAUUUCCUCUAAAUCCGGACGAGUUGCUUUUUCGACUCCUUUUCCACGCGUGCAUUGCUGUUGAAAUGAGGUUAUAAAUACUGAAGAUCUUCCCCCCUCUGAAAUUCUUACAUUUGUUCUAUUGACAGUUGGACUACUUCGUCGACUGCCACUACUCUCUGCCUGAUGACCGUUUAUGGGCUAUCGGUGGCACCAGCGAGGGGACACUAGGUUACUUCCCUGUAAAAAACAAUCCUGCGGGAGCGAUCGAUUGGGUGGAGGCUGUCCUCGAAGGAGGCCACACAGGAGUUAUCAGGACCAUAUGCCCAGGUGGAAGCAGUCUUGAGAGCCUUGGCCAAAACAAGGGCAUCUUUGGGUGGACAGGAGGCGAGGAUGGCCGUCUAUGUUGCUGGCGCUCGGACGAUGUCGCAGCGACGAAGAAGUCCUGGAUCUCCAGUACGCCCGUGUCACGCAUCGACAAGAAAACGAAAAUCCGACAUCAGCCCUACUGACCUUCCAAGAUUGAUGUCUGGUCUCUUGGUUAACGCAUCCAUAUGGGAUGUGGUUUUUGUUUGUAUCGAGGCGAUAACGGUGGGUCCCUGAUUUUCUUGCCAAUUAACAAUUGCUGCUGUGUUGGCAUUUUACUGUUGAUCGUGUUAUUGCUGUUUCCUGGUUGUACUAAUUUUUGCUGUUGGUAAAUGAAGCAAGGAGUGCGAUGGUCGUGAUUCUUCUCUACAAUUUUCUCCUUUCUAUUUUGGUCUUAACUUUUCAUCUUUUUAUGUUUCUCUCUGAUGUAUCGGAUAUCAUUCCUUUUUUCUUUAUUAAUCUUCCACUUGUAUAGUUGCAUUAUAACUGAACAUUAUCACAUGCCUAGAUUAUUUUGCUGUUUUCAGUUUUUGUUGUUGAGGUAUCUGACAUUAUAACUUGCAAACAUAUAGUACUAAAACUGUGUCUUUAUGACAAAUACAUUUUAGGCCAAAGGUGUAGGUAUGCAAAUUAUUCCAUCAUGAUAUUUAUAGCUGUAUAAAAGAAAAGAUACUAAUGACACACAAUUAUUUAUAGCUGUAUGAAAGAAAAGAUGCCAACGACACAAUUAUUCACCUUACCAGUUAUGCCUUCAUGUCUAAAUAUAUGCUUUCAUAUAAAAACUACUACUACCUACCAAGAUGUGCGGUCUCUAGGUGUUGAACCGGUAUGGGCCCUAGCCCAUCAAGAUCUGUCUCUUGGGCCCAAGCCCAUGAGAGGUGCUGACCUAGAAGAGGAGCCCCUCUUCCCCCUGCCCUAGUGUGAGCCGCCACAUCUAAGACACACACUCACGCAAGCAACAAGGUGUAGGGGAGGCGCUGUGUGAAGGUACCCAUCUCCCGAUUCAACAUGGUAUCGAGCCAGGCGACGAAGGUGGCGGCGUAGUCCCUCGCUGGAGAGGCGGCGGUGGGGCCCAGCGGGGUCAGGCGAGAAAGGAGGCUCGUGCGUGCGUGAGGCGGCGGGUCUGCUGUGGUGCGUGCGGCGGCGGCUGGGCUGGGCUCGAGGAGCUGCAACGCGGCCGGGAGGGAGCUGCUUCCUCUUGUCCUGCUUCGUGUCCCUGGGGUGGCUAGCUGCGAAGGGGGCGGCCGAGGAGGGCUGCUGCGGGCUGUGCAGGCGGCUGCGGCGGGAAGAAGAGGAGGAGGAGGAAGAAGGCGGCAGCGGAUUUGGGCUGCGUGCGAGUCAGGCUGAGGCGGGGAGCUGCUGCUGUUGGUGCUGCUGAACAGAGGAGGAACUGCAGCAGCUGCUGCUGCCUUGUGCUGUUCCUGGGAGCUUGCUGAGCUGCUGGUGCUUUUCGGCUGCUUCUUGGUGCUGCGGCAGAGGAAGAAAGAGUGGUUGCCUGCUGGACUGCUCGUUCUGGAACAGGAAGAGCCUUGGCUGGACCACUUGUGUAAUUUACAGAGAUUUUUUUUUCUCUGUGGACUUGCUGUUGUGAGCUUGGUGUUGUGGUGGUGGUGGUGGUGCUCCUUGGAAAAAAAGACUCUCCGAGGCUGAGUUUUGCUGUUGCUGCUCAUCCCGCCAAACGAUGGCUGAACCAACUGGUCUUGCCGAGGCUUUGGAGAAGCUCGCUAAGAUCCUCGCGGAGUCCAACUCUGGGGCCAUCGUUCCUCGACAGGAAGUGGCUCAAAAGCUUGAAAUGUCGCCCCUGGACAUGAAGCUAGAGGGGGCAACAAAUUAUUUGAGCUGGUCCAGAAGGGCUUUGUGGGCUGUGGAGCAGAAGGAGCUUGAUGGCUAUUUGUUGGGCACCGUUGUAGAACCAAGGGACACGAGUAGUGCAGAUGGCAAGAGGUGGAAGGUCAUCCACUCUGUCCUUAUGGUGUGGUUGUUGAACUCCGUGGUGCCCUCCAUUGGACGCUCUGUGGAGGGGCUAUCCUCACCUGCUGAGAUAUGGAAGAUUCUGUCCACUCAAUACUCUGGCAAGGGCAAUGUCAUGCUCAUUGCUCAGAUUGAGGACAAGAUUAGGUUGCUGCGUCAAGAUGAUGGCAUGUCAGUGAUGACAUACGUGGCAGAACUGCAGGCUCUGUGGGCUGACCAGGAUAACUGUGAUCCCUUGGAACUCUAUGAUGCGGCUUCAAUCGAGUCAGGGCAUAAGUGGAUGGCACGCAGGCGUGUGCUGAAAUUUUUGGCUGGCCUAAAAGGUUGCUUUGAUGGCAGGAAUGCUUCCCUGUUGCACCAACCUAGUCUGCCUACCAUUCCUGAGGCUAUUGCAGCGAUGACUCAAGAGGAGGUGCACCUCUCCCUUGAGCAUGCAGACAUGAAGGUUGUGCCAGCUUCGACAUUUGCAGUCACUGAGCGCAUGGAGUGGGGAGAUCCCACCAAAUGUCAUAUCUGUGGGGAGGUAGGUCACUGGAAGAGAGAAUGUCCAACUCGUGGCAGAGGCAGGGGAUAUAACAGAGGGGGAGCAGGCAGAGGUAGAAGUGCUCGAGGCAGAGGUGGAUACUCAGAGACCUCAUGGAGCCAGGCUUCUAGAGGUAGAGGUGGCUACUCAGGACACUCAGGGGGUCAGAGGGCUCACAUGGCCGUUGCAGGAGACACUGGGACGUCCAAAGGCAAAGAUGUAGAUGAUGUUGCCUAUGGAGACUUUGCUCACUGGGCCUCCACUGAUGAAGGUAAUCCGGAAAGAGCAUCUCUUGCUACUAAUGAGAGUGCUCCAGAGUGGGUUCUUGACUCUGGAGCAUCUAAGCAUGUUGCUAGUAACUCAUGUGUGUUCGAAUCUUACACUAAGCAUCCUCCCUCUCACACGGGCACUAUACAAACGGCUGAUGGCACAAAACAACCAGUCAUAGGGGUUGGUACAGUAAAGUGUACUCCGACCAUUUCCCUAUCGUCAGUUUUACAUGUGCCAGCCUUUCCUGUCAAUUUGGUCUCUUUCAGUGCACUCAUUGAUCAAAUGGACUGUCGUGUGAUCCUUGACAAGUUCGGUUGCUUGAUUCAGGAGCGACAGACGAGCCAGACGGUUGGGACUGGCACCAGGCGUAGGGGGCUCUGGUACAUGGACCAGGAGGUGCAGCCGGACUUGGUGUGUGCUGCGACCAUGGAGGAUAAGGAGAAGCAGGCGAUGAUCCAUCAUUGUAGGAUGGGGCAUGUAUCUUUUGAUAAGAUGAGUAGAAUAUUUCCGGAUGUUAUGUGUGGAAUAGGCAAAGGCAAGCUGACAUGUGAUGCUUGUGAAUAUGCAAAACACACACGGGCCUCAUAUGUGAGUAAGGGGCUCAGGAGCAUAUCUCCUUUUAUGCUUAUUCAUUCGGAUGUAUGGACUAGCCCAGUGGUGUCAAUGAAUGGGAAGAAGUAUUUUGCUACCUUUAUUGACUGCUAUUCUCGCAUGACUUGGAUUUACUUGAUGCGUCACAAGGAUGAGGUGUUUAGCUGUUUUCAGAACUUCCAUGCUCUUGUAAAGAACCAGUUUCAGGUACAGGUCAAGGUGCUCAGGAUGGACAAUGGAACGGAGUAUGUGAACAACAUUUUUGGGGCUUUCAUGGCUGACCAUGGGAUUCUUCAUCAAACUUCAUGUCCGGACACCCCCCCUCAGAAUGGAGUGGCCGAACGGAAGAAUCGUCAUGUUCUUGAGGUUGCUCGGUCGUUGAUGUUUACCAUGAAUGUGCCUAAGUUCUUGUGGGAUGAUGCAGUUAUGACAGCCACAUACUUGAUCAACCGAACACCUUCCCGGAUACUUGGCAUGAAAUCUCCGUCUGAGUUGAUCAUUGGAGAUAAUAAGUUUGUUGUUCCCCCAAAGUUGUUUGGCAGUACCUGCUUUGUUCGUGAUCACCGACCAUCUGUUGGCAAGCUUGAUCCUCGGGCAGUGAAGUGUGUCUUUCUGGGAUACUCGUCUAGUCAGCAGGGGUAUAAAUGUUGGUGUCCCUCUGAAAAACGCAGGUUUGUAAGUAUGGACGUUACAUUCAGGGAGUCUGAGCCAUUCUAUGGUGAGCCGACUGAUCUCAGUCUGUUGUUUGCAGAGCUUGACCACCUACACCCUGUGCAUGAUGGUCAAGAGGGGGAGAAGGAUGUGUCUCAUACUCACGGUGAUCCUGUGGACAUUAACACUGAUAAUGAUGUGCAUGCUCAGGUUCAACCAAUAGUGGGUACAAUUCCGGUUAGUACCAUCACUGAUGAUGAUGUGCGGGCUCAUGUCGAGCCAACUGUCGAUACACUUAAGAUUGGUGCUCUCCAGGUUCCUGUUCGGGAUCGAUGGCAGACGAAUACCCUGGUGUACUCUCGGCGGCAACCACAAGUGCAGGGGGAGCAGCAAGGCAGGGAGGCAAGAGUGCAGGGGGAGCAGCAAGGCAGGGAGGCAAGAGUGCAGGGGGAGCAGCAAGGCAGUGAGGCAAGCUCAUCUGACACAGUGGAGCUGCCCAUUGCGUUGCGAAAACCUACACGUGAAGCGGCAAGGAAGGGUGAGGUAGCAAGGAAGGCUCUGCCAAAGGAUGAUGCUUGUGAUGACCUUGAUAUUGGCAAUUUUGUGUCUUACAAGGCUUUGUCACCUUCAUAUAAGGCGUUUGUUGCCUCUCUGCAAACUGUGUCUAUCCCUAGGGAUUGGAAGGCUGCAAAGCAAGAUCCGAAGUGGCGUGAAUCGAUGAUAGAGGAGUUAGAAGCAUUGAAAAAAAACAAGACAUGGGUGCUAACCACAUUGCCGGCAGGAAAGAAAGCAGUGAGUUGUAAGUGGAUUUUUACUGUGAAGCAGAAUCCUGAGGGCAAGGUGGAACGGUAUAAGGCUAGAUUGGUUGCCAGAGGAUAUAGUCAAACUUAUGGAAUUGACUAUGAUGAGACAUUUGCUCCAGUUGCAAAGAUGAACACGGUACGGGUAUUGGUCUCUUGUGCUGCAAACUUUGGGUGGAAAUUGCACCAGUUAGAUGUCAAGAAUGCCUUCUUACAUGGUGACUUGAAAGAAGAGGUAUACAUGGAGAUACCGCCAGGUUUUGGCACAGAACAGACUACGGGGAAGGUAUGCAGGCUGAAGAAAUCCUUGCAUGGUCUGAAGCAAUCGCCGAGGGCAUGGUUUGAUAGGUUCAGACGAGCUGUUUGGAAUAUGGGGUAUGGCCAAUGUAAUGGUGACCACACGGUGUUUUAUAGACACACUAAUAAGAAGAUCACCAUUGUUGCAGUGUAUGUUGAUGAUAUCAUCAUCACUGGAGAUGAUGAGGAGGAAAUAAAGAGAGUGAAGGGGUGUCUGAGCAAGGAGUUUGAGGUAAAAGACUUAGGAAAUCUAAAGUACUUCCUUGGCAUAGAAGUGGCCCGGACAGAGAAGGGAAUAUCUUUGUGCCAACGAAAAUACACCCUGGAUCUUUUGAGUGACAUGGGCAUGAUGGGAUGUCGUGCAACCCCUACUCCAAUUGAACAAAAUCAUCAAGUAACAGCACAAUCAGGUGAGCUAGUGAAUAAGGAAGAUUAUCAGAAGCUGGUUGGGAGGUUAUUGUACUUGUGUCAUACUAGGCCUGACAUUACGUAUGCCGUGGGGGUGGUGAGCAGAUACAUGCAUGAACCAAGGAGAGGGCAUCUUGAUAUUGUUCACAGAAUCCUGAGAUACUUGAAGGGGACUCCGGGUAAAGGGUUGUGGUUUGCGAAGAGUGGACAUCUUGAGGUGGAUGGCUAUAGUGACUCUGAUUGGGCUAGCUGUCAAGAUGAUAGACGAUCAACUUCAGGUUACUGUGUGUUUGUGGGAGGAAAUUUGGUGUCAUGGAGAAGCAAGAAACAGAAUGUUGUGUCUAGAUCAACAGCAGAAGCUGAAUAUAGAGCAUUAUCUCAAGGGUUGUGUGAUAUGCUCUGGGUGAAGCACCUACUAUGCGAGUUGAAACUCUUGAGGAAGGGACCCAUAAGGGUGUGGUGUGACAAUCAGUCAGCUAUAGCCAUUGCUAAUAACCCAGUUCAACAUGAUAGGACGAAGCAUGUGGAAAUUGAUCGCUUCUUCAUUAAAGAGAAACUUGAUGCUGGGAUCAUCAGCCUUACUCAUGUCAGCUCUGGGCAGCAGUUUGCAGAUUGCUUGACAAAGGGACUGGGAACAAAGGACUGUAACUUGGCGUGUGAAAAGAUGGGGAUGAUAGAUAUCUACCACCCAUCUUGAGGGGGAGUGUUGAACCGGUAUGGGCCCUAGCCCAUCAAGAUCUGUCUCUUGGGCCCAAGCCCAUGAGAGGUGCUGACCUAGAAGAGGAGCCCCUCUUCCCCCUGCCCUAGUGUGAGCCGCCACAUCUAAGACACACACUCACGCAAGCAACAAGGUGUAGGGGAGGCGCUGUGUGAAGGUACCCAUCUCCCGAUUCAACACUAGGUUUACAAUUGUUAUGAGAUUAUUUUUUUCUUGUAUGUAUUGAGAAGUUAAGCCAAAUUGAUGUGGCUCACUGUUUUUUUAUAAUAAGUUUAUCGCUGAGAAAUGAGAAUUAAGAAUUUAAAACCUAAGACUCGCAGGGUUGUAGAUUGAGACCACCUUUUCAUAAACUACCCUUGUAUUUUUUUGACACAAAAAGGAGUGAGUACAAGCUAAAUUAUAAAAUAAUACUUUCUCUGAUCCAUAUUACUUGUCGCAGCUUUAGUUCAGUUUAAUACUCCCUCCGUCCGGAAAUACUUGUCGCAUAAAUGCAUAAAAAUGGAUGUAUCUAAGAACUAAAAUACGUCUAGAUACAUUCAUUUCGCUGACAAGUAUUUCCGGACGGAGAGAGUAGGUUGUAAUUUUAUUUGGUCAGUUUACUGGUACUCGUGUCCUUUGUCUAUCAUCGCUCCCGCGGAAACCCAAACCAAUGCUCACCUACCUGGUGAGAGAUAUAUGCUACUACCCCGGUCCUGAUUUUGUAAGUCUUUUUUGUAUUUUGUGUCAAAGUUUGACUAUAAAUUUAACUAACGAAAUAUUCAUGCAUGUCACCAAAAAUUAUAUUGUUGGAUUCAUAUUAUGUUCAAAUAUGAAUCCAAUGAUAUAAUUUUUUGUGGCAUGCAUUAACAUUUUGUUAGUUAAAUUUAAGGUCAAAAUUUAUCACAGAAUACAAAAGAGACUACUAAACCAGGACGGAGGUAGUAAUGUUCAGAGGUUGAUUUUGAAAUUAUCAUGUAAAAAAAACAUAAUUUUGAAAAAAAGAGAUCCAAAUACACAUCCAUAUUGGCGUGUGGAUUUCAAAAUCAAAUUUAAGGGAGGAAAGUGCAAUCCAUUUAAUACUAGAUGCCGUGAAAUGAAACACGUGAAAUCUCAAAAAUUCUUAUUGAAUCUCUUAAAAUCUAUGGGAAGCCAAAAAAAUGAUCUUAAAAAACCACAAUGGUGCAAAAUCCUGAAAUAGAUAGGUUUUUGAAUAUAUUCAACAAGAUAAUGCAUUUUUGAAAACCGGUGGCCACACGACAGCCUCUGCAAUCAUGUGGCUACCACUGUACAUGUCAGCUACUAUAGGAUUUCUCAACGCUAGUUCAGCUCCACAUCGGGAGAGUUCAUCGGAGUAGAGCCAGAGCGCCCACUGAUUUGAGCCACCCGCCGGCAGUGACAUGGCUUCCCUGCUCAUACCGCUGCUGGGCCGCGUGGCGGCCAAGGCCGGGGACGCGCUGGUGGCCGAGCUGCUGCGGGCGUGGGGGCUGGACAAGGCCCGCCGGAAACUGGAGCGCCACCUCGCCGCCGUCCAGUGCGUCCUGCUGGACGCCGACGCCAAGAGCCGCACAAACCCGGCCGUCCGCCAUUGGGUCAAGGACCUCAAGACCGCCGCCUACCAGGCCGACGACGUCCUCGACGGCUUCCGCUACGAGGCGCUGCGCCGCCGUGCCGCCCAGAUACGCCCCAGCUCCACGGCACACAAGGUUCGUCCGUGUCCUACCUGUUCCCACCCAACUUUAUUUUCAGUUUCAUUUGGUAAUGGAAGCCUUUUAAAUUCAGUUUAAUUUGGAAAUGGAAGCCUUUUAAUUUCAGUCUCGUUUGGAAAUGGAAUCGUUUCGAUUUCAGGUUAAGAUACUAAUUUGGAAGUUCUGUUUGUUUUCAUCUCAGAUGCUGAGCUACUUCACUGUCAAUAGCCCGGUUGUUUUCCGUCUCUCAAUGAGCAAGAAGAUGAAGAAUUGCCUUGAUAUGAUAGAUGAGCUGGUUGUGGAGAUGAACAAUUUCCACUUCCUACAACACGCCGAUGCACCAAGCAUUGUUCACCCGCAAACACACUCUCAUGUUGAUGAACUAGAGGUUGUUGGCAGACAAGAUGAGAAGGAACGGGUGGUCAAGAUAUUGCUACAUCACUCUCGCAACAACAAUAGUGAUAACAAUGUCAUGGUGCUCCCCAUAGUUGGUAUGGGGGGAAUUGGUAAGACCACCCUUGCUCAACUUGUGCACAAUGACCAAAGGGUUGUGCAUCACUUUGAGUUGGUCUUAUGGGUAUGCAUCUCUGACAAGUUUGUUAUUGAAGAAAUAAUACGAUCUAUAAUAGAAGUCGCCACGAUGACCAAAUGUGAUUCCACUAAGAUGGAGGCACUGCGGAAGCAACUUGGUGAAGUGUUGGGCAGGAGAAGGUACCUCAUAAUUUUGGAUGAUGUUUGGAAUGAAGAUAGACAGAAGUGGGAUGAUAUGAGAUCAUUGUUGUGCUCACAUGCUGGCUCAGGUAGUGCCAUAAUUGUGACAAGUCGCAGCGAUCAAGUUGCUUCUAUCAUGGGCACACUUCCUCCACGCCAGAUAUCACUUCUAGAUGAGGAUCAAUCAUGGGAGCUUUUUCAUAGAAACACAUUUGGAAGAGGAGUGGAAAAGCAAGAGGAAUUGAUUUUAACGGCUAAGAAUAUUGUCCAUAAGUGUAAGGGAUUGCCUCUUGCUAUCAAAACAAUGGCAGCUUUACUUCUCUCAAAGCAUCACAAUCAGUGGCUUGCUGUUCUAGAUAGUGAUGUCUGGAAGAAUGGCAUUCUCGCAACUGGGAUUGUACCUGCCCUACAACUGAGCUAUGAUCACUUGUCAUCAGAAGAGAAAAUAUGUUUUUCCUUCUGUGCUAUUUUCCCAAAAGAUAGCCCGAUGGAUAAAGACAUGUUAAUCCAACUAUGGAUUGCAAAUGACUUUAUUGCAUCAGAAACAAGAGGCCAGGAAAUUUUUGAUGUGCUAGUUUGGAGAUGUUUCCUCCAAUUAGAUGUGGAUAUUGGAGAGAAUUGGCUCUCUGAAUUUCGAGAUGAGUCCAUCCACCGAACUACUUGCAAGAUGCAUGAUCUUAUGCAUGAUCUUGCUGACUUCGUAAGCGGAAAUGAUUGUUUCAUUUUGCAAGAAUCUUCAUUAUCUCAAAAAAUUGUGCAAGGGUCCACAUAUGCUACUUCCUUGCAGCAUGAGGUUCGACAUUUGUCACUUGAUCAUGUUAGUACUUAUACUGUUGCAGCCAUGGAGGAAAUUAUCGCUCCUCGGCCCCGCACAAUAUUAAUCCAAAGGGAGUGGACUAGGAAUCCUCUGAGUAUGGCGAAGUCAACAUUCGUGUCUUUACGAGCAUUGAAGACCUUCUCAAUCAAGACACAUAUGACAAACAUGAAGCAUCUUCGUUAUUUAGAUUGUUCUUAUUCCCUUAUAUCUGCAUUGCCUGAAGCCACUACCAUGCUGUAUAGCUUGCAAACAUUAAAGCUCAUUGGUUGUCGAUACCUGAAGAAACUGCCAGAAGAGCUGAGAUAUAUGAGCAGUCUUCGACACAUCUUACUCGCUGGGUGUCAUCGUUUGGAGCGCAUGCCACAAGGUAUUGGUCAGAUGAAUUCUCUACAUACAUUGACGAGUUUUGUCAUUGUUAGUGAUGCAGGCUGCGGAAUUGAUCAACUGAAAGACUUGAAUCUAGGUGGUGCUCUUUCUUUGACUGAGCUGAGAAAAGUGCAUAGUCCAGAAAAUGCUAAACAAGGCAAUAUGUCCGCAAAGCAUAAUUUGAAACGAUUAUCACUCGAUUGGGCAAGUGGAUCUUCCAGCACACAUGUUGGAUAUGAAGUAGAUACUAAUGCAGAAGGAAUAUUAGAUGCUCUUCAUCCUCACAAAAUGCUUGAAGUUUUACUAUUAUCUAAUUAUACUGGUGCUAAAUUUUCACCAUGGAUGCACAACUCUCCACUGUUAGAACAUCUGAGCGAACUUUCUCUAAGUAGCUGCCCAAACUGCAAGGAUCUUCCACCAUUAUGGAAACUUCCUUCUCUCGGAUAUUUGAGUUUGGAUGGUUUGCAUAGCUUGAGAAGUAUAUGUGUUGGUAAUGAUGAUAAAGAUAAUGUGGAAUCCUGCAUUUCCCCACCACUCUUCUUUCCUAAAUUGGAAACCAUGAUAGUUUCUAACAUGCCUAAGCUACGGAGAUGGCACCAGGAGGUGGCAGGACAAGUAGCGGUUGUAUCAUUCCCUCAUCUCAAGAAGCUACAUAUUUAUGGAUGCCCAAUGCUAGCAAGCAUGCCCAAGAUGCUUCCUUUGCUUGAAGAUCUACUGGUGAAGAAGGCAAGACACAUUCCCCUUUAUCAUCUGAUGAAUCUGUGUGUGCAAUCUAAUCUUGAGUGCAGAGGCUCCAUUGAAGUGAAGCCUACAGUUGGCUGGCUGCCUAUUGGUGACCUUCACUUCUUGAAGCCUGGUGACCUGACACUAAGACUCAGAUUUUUGACGGAAAUUGUAGCGCGCUUUGAAGAGGAGCUAAACAGAAUACCUUGCAGAUUUAUUAAGAAGCUAAGUAUAGAAUCUUGUGGCUGUCUUUUCUCAUCUGAACCAUCCCAAAUACAACGGAAUAUAUGGAACUAUUUUGGUUUUAUUGAAUGGUUGUGCAUUAAAGGUAGCAAUAAUAUAGUACAAUGGCCAGUGGUAGAAAUAAAAAACUUGAAUAGUCUUCGAGCUCUGCACUUGAUAGAGUGUUUCAACUUAACUGGAUCAGUUCCAUCAACAAUAUCUGAAGACGAAGAAGUCCUGCCUCAUCGACUCCUAGAACUUUCAAUUGUACGAAGUGGAAAUUUGGUGGAGGUACCAAAGUUGCCUGAAUCUCUUGAAACAUUGCUCAUUGCUUCUUGUCCCAAGUUGGUGUGCAUGCCAAAGAAUCUUGGGAACAUGAAGAAACUGAGAGAACUCAGUGUACAUGUGUGCGAUGCCCUGGCGGCAUUUCCAGAUGGAAUGUAUGGAUUCACUGCACUCAAGCGGCUGGAUAUGCAGGGGUGCCCAAGGUUAGAGGCACUACCGGAGGGACUCCUGCAGCAGCUCCAAGCCCUCGAGGGACUAAGGAUCCUUGACUGCCCCAAGUUGGACGGAGCCCUCUCAAUAGGAGGCGCUUACUGGCAUUUGGUUCAAGCAAUUCGACAUAGAUAUGUUGGCAAUUCCACAGAGUAUUCCCACAGCAGCGCUAAUUGGUUUGCUAGACUAUGAUUUGGAUGCCUGUGUGUCAUGUUCCAGGAUUUAUUUAUUUGUUGAAUCCGUUAAUUAUAUGUAUGUCGGGUACAACCUACCUAGACUUGAUGGUUUUGCACAAAAAUACUCGUGUCUAUGUAAAGCUAGACUCUGAUUACGAUGGUCUAUGAAGGAACGUGUCAAAAUGUUCAGCAGAUUUCUAUGGGGAUUCGUGCUAUAACAGAAAACUAUGUUAUUGCUUCCUUUUCCAAUGCAACUAGUAAAAGAAGGGGAUGGCUUAGGCCUCCUAAGGGGUUUGUAAAACUUAAUGUUGAUGCAUCUUUUGAUCAAGACUUGCUUAGGGGUACAUCUGGCACUGUGAUAAGAGAUGACGAAGGUAAAUUCAUUGCUGAAGGAAAUUGGAAGACUGAUUGGUGUGCCGAUGUCCUUACCACUGAAGCUUUGGCGUUAAGACAUGGCUUAUCUCUCGCCCAAAAGGCGGGCUAAAAUCGUCUUGUUAUUAGUUCUGAUAAUGUGGAGGUCAUCGACAUUAUGAAGGUUUGGAGGACGUUCUGUGCGAGCGGCGGCAGCAAUGUUUGAUGAUUGUAAUUUUUUGGCUUGUGAUUUUUCUCUCAUUAGUUUUGAACAUUGUAAUAGAAAAGCGAAUAUGGUUGUUCAUGAACUUGCUAGAUUAGCUAGAUUUUCAUCGACGAAGGAUUGGUUUGAGGAGCCUUUGAGCGAAAUUGUAUCUUUUCUUAUAGACGAUGUAACUGAUAUUUCAAAUAAAUAAAGUUUGCUAUUUUUUUUAAAAAGCAGGCUAAUACUUAAAUUGGAGAGGAAAUUAUUACUGUACAAUAUAUUUCUUAGACUCACGCAUGGUAGAAUCCUCUAUCAAUAUAUUUAUAGAUAAAACAAGCACAACCACAAAAAAUAAUAUAAACAUGCUACAAUACAUAUAAAUGUCAAGCACGUUGCAUGUGUAGGCCAUCCAAACUAGAUCCAAUAUAUGAGUCGGUUUUUCUAUCUCUAAAGAAAUGGAACAAAUUACUUUAUAGAAGGAUGCAUAUGACUUUAUCAUUUUUGUGCUUUGUUUCACUUUAGAUUAACGUAAUUUAUUUCGACAAUACAUCUAAACUAAAUUUUAAACUAUAAAACAAUUUCCAUAAUAAAAAAGUACAAUUUAAUUGUUAUAUUUAUAAUGAUAGAAGGUUGCGAUGUAUGCUAGUAAUGUUUAAGUUUUUAAAUAUUAUAAAUGCAGAUAUGUGGUAAAUAUUGUUAAAUUUAAUGAAAAUACUAUUUAAAUUUUGUGAUAGUGAGAUAUGAAUGAGUAAAGAUAUUUACUAUAAAUAGGUGAUUGUGGACUCAUACUGGAAGCUUAUCCAGCUAGACAAACGUAUUGUCAUGACGGCCAUCCACCUCAGGUUGAUUGCCAUUUGCGGUUGCACGCAAGACUUACAUGGAGUGAGGCAUUAUAUUAACGAAUGAUAUUAGCAAGAACGAGGCGAUCAAUAAUUGCUUUAAAUGAGAAUUUAUUUUUACCUGACAAGAAGAAAAAAGACAUUUGUUGAAAGAUAAUUAUCUGCAAGUUGUACGAGCAGUUUAACCGUUGUUAUGGGUAAUGUCUUUAUAGAACCUCAUGCUAGAAAGCUUUAUAGCAAAAUUGUCAUUGCCACGCAAGUUUUAAGAGAAAAAAAUAUAAGAGUCUCUCCGCUAUUGAUAUAUCUCCUUGCAAGUGAAGUACCCUAUAAAUUUACUGUUUGUGCACCUCCAAAAGUAUUGUGCUUGUAGACACUUAUUUUCCUUUUGUCAGAGUUCAGCUUUUUCGCUCUCUUGUAGAUAUUAUUCUGUAGAUGGGUCCUUAAUUUGUUGUCAUAUGGUGCAUCACGUAUUUACUCUCCUACACUUGUUUAUUGGACUUGGCGCACCAUAUUACAAAACUUUGAUAGCCUCGGCGCGGCGCGACCGUUUUGCUGUGAGAGGUGAGAAGGUUGCGAAGAGCAACGUUAUCAAACUCUUUACCGUUGUCAGUUUGGAGUGCAAGAAUGGGGCCGCCGAACUGUGUGGUGACAUAGGAGUAAAAGGACAUGAGUGUGGCUAAGGCAUCGGAUUUGCGAUGAAGAGGAAAAGUCCACACAUAAUGAGAAUAAUCAUCUAAAAUCACCAAAUAGUAUAGGUAGCCCGUGUUGCUUGCAAUGGGAGACGUCCAAACAUCACUAUGAAGUAAUUGAAACGAAAAGGUAGAAACAAUUGUAGACGCACUAAAGGGAAGACGAACGUGCUUGCCUAAACGACAAGCCUCACAAGUAUGCUCGUCGAGAUUAUUACAUGAGAAAGAAAAACUCUUAAGAAUUUGACGUAAAACGGUGGGGUUGGGGUUGCCCAAGCGAGCAUGCCAAAGGUCGACGCCGGUGGCGAGGGCGACGGGUGUGGAGGUGGAGGCGCUUGCGUGCACGGGGUAGAGCUCAUCGGGACUGUCACAUCGGUGAAGUACCAUCCGGAUACAUGCGUCCUUCACAGAAAAACCAACAUUAUGAAAUUCAACAGUAAGUGGGUUCUCACGAGUAAGACGGCGAACGAAAACUAUGUCCGUGACUAAUUCAGGCGAAACAAGAACAUUAGACAUAGUGAUGGGUGUGGAAGUGGAGGGAAAAGUAGUGCUACCGAUAUGAGUAAUAGGUAAGGAGGAGCCGUUGCCAACGGUGAUACGAGUGGGUGUACUAACGGGAGUGGAGGAGGUUAGGUUACCAGGAUGAGCUGUCAUGUGUGCAGUAGCACCUGAGUCCAUGUACCAGUCGUAUUAUUCUGUGGACGGGUCCUUAAUUUGUUGUCAUAUGGUGCAUCACGUAUUUACUCUCCUACACUUGUUUAUUGGACUUGGCGCACCAUAUUACAAAACAUUGAUAGCCUCAGCGCGGCGCGACCGUUCUGCUGUGAGGUGUAUGGACAAGUUAAACGGAAGAUGGUGCCGUGAGAGGUGAGAAGGUUGCGAAGAGCAACGUUAUCAAACUCUUUACCGUUGUCAGUUUGGAGUGCAAGAAUGGGGCGGCCGAACUGUGUGGUGACAUAGGAGUAAAAGGACACGAGUGUGGCUAAGGCAUCGGAUUUGCGAUGAAGAGGAAAAGUCCACACAUAAUGAGAAUAAUCAUCUAAAAUCACCAAAUAGUAUAGGUAGCCCGUGUUGCUUGCAAUGGGAGACGUCCAAACAUCACUAUGAAGUAAUUGAAACGAAAAGGUAGAAACUGUUGUAGACGCACUAAAGGGAAGACGAACGUGCUUGCCUAAACGAAAAGCCUCACAAGUAUGCUCGUCGAGAUUAUUACAUGAGAAAGAAAAACUCUUAAGAAUUUGACGUAAAAUGGUGGGGUUGGGGUUGCCCAAGCGAGCAUGCCAAAGGUCGAGGCCGGUGGCGAGGGCGACGGGUGUGGAGGUGGAGGCGCCUGCGUGGACGGGGUAGAGCUCAUCGGGACUGUCACAUCGGUGAAGUACCAUCCGGAUACAUGCGUCCUUCAUAGAAAAACCAACAUUAUGAAAUUCAACAGUAAGUGGGUUCUCACGAGUAAGACGACGAAUGAAAACUAUGUCCGUGACUAAUUCGGGCGAAAUAAGAACAUUAGACAUAGUGAUGGGUGUGGAAGUGGAGGGAAAAGUAGUGCUACCGAUAUGAGUAAUAGGUAAGGAGGAGCCGAUGCCAACGGUGAUACGAGUGGGUGUACUAAUGGGAGUGGAGGAGGUUAGGUUACCAGGAUGAGCUGUUAUGUGCGCAGUAGCACCUAAGUCCAUGUACUAGUCGCCUCCACCGCCAUAGUUACUCGUCAACGGUGCGGAGUGCAGGGCAGCCAGGAGGGCGGGGUCCCAUGGCGCAGGUACCGGCGGCGGCGGGAGGCCCCCGUAGGGCGGCACCGGGGCGGGCGGGCCAUAACCACCGAGGGGCGGCAGCGCAAGGGGGGCGCGCCGAUGAACGCCUCGUGGCCCGCGGGGCGAGGACCGAGAAGACCCGACGCAGGAGCCCGUGGGACGAGCAUGUGAUAAGCAUGCACGACGCCCGUCCAUGGGUUUUACCUGGCUGCCCAUGGCGGAUGGGGCUGCUGGUAGCACAUCGCCCCCCUGGCGCCCUGGGCCGACUGCUGCUGGCGGCAGCGGCCGCCGCCAUGCCAGUUGAGCUGCCCCCCUCCUUGCGGCUACUGCUGGGGAGGUGCGGGGGUCGCGGGUGGCGCAGGCGGCAGCGGGUAAUACCCGGCGGGCGCGGGAGGCCGCGGCUGGGUCGACGCAGCCGGUGGAGCGGGGCCACCGCGGGUGGUGCCGACAGCGAGUCCGGUGUGCUGAACCCGCUGCUUCACCUUCAUCAUCCGGCGCUCCUCGAGCUUGAGGUAUGUGACGACGCGCUGAAAAGUGUGCCGCGGCAACAAAGUGAGGUUAGAAGUCGCGUUGCCGAAGUCUUCGUUGAGGCUGGCGGUGAGGGUGCUGAGCAUGAGGUCGACGGAGACUUUGGCACCGAUGUCACGAAGUUCAUCGGCGAGCAUCUUGAGCCGCAUGCAGUACUCAUCGAUGGUGGAGUUGUCCUGGUGACAGCCGAAGAACUCCUGCUGCAAGAAAACAAGGCGCUGAAGUUUGUUGUCGGUGAAGAGUGCGUUGAUCUUGGUCCACACGGCGCAAGCGUCGUCGUCCUCGGCAACGAUCGUGUGGAAGAUGUCCUUCGAGACGGUUUGAUAGAACCAUCGGAUGAGCGUGGCCUCAAUGGCGGACCACUCCGGAUCACCCUUCAUGUACUCGUCGUCCACGGAGCCAUCGAUGUGCUCAGUGAGAUAGUACUCGCGGAAGACAAGAUUGAAGUAGGUCUUCCACGCGUAGUAGGAUGAGCUAGAGCUGUCAAGGCGGAUGGGGACUCGGACCUUAAUGUUGAGGUCGCGGAUGGCGGCAGCGGAGGGCUCGGUGCCGGCCAAGGGGUUGGACGAGCGGGUGGUGGAGGAGCCCGGGGAAUCCAUGGACGUGCCAGGAGCGUCAGGGUUUCUCAAAGCCGUAGAAGAGUAGAGCUCAGACUUAUCAUCAUCCCAGUCUCCCUCGAACUCAUGACUGUUGUCACUAUCGCUAGUCCAGAUCUGUAAACAUGAGUUAAGCACUGAAAACAUUGGAACGAAAGCAAGACAUCGAAACCAAGCAAGGUCAACAAAAUACACUUCAUUCAUGGUUGUGGACAUUGGCCACUGUUGAACAAUGAGAUUGAGCUCAACUCAUAACUUGUGUUGCUUCUCUCACAGGAGUACAAAGAUAUACUAGGAUCAACAGUGAUCCUUAUCUCGUGGAGAGUCAGCAGCGGAUAACACCGGCUGUAAUGCAUGCAUGCAUGGCGCAUGCAGAGGCGGUGGUGCAAGACCAGCUCAAGCCGGUAAUCAUCAGUCUAACAGCCACAACUAAUUGCUGCACGUACAACAUCUAAUCAAAACACCACCUGCAGAAGAAGCAACCGAAGCACACUUCUUUUUAACUGCAAAGCUGCAUUCAGUCAAGAACGAGAAGAAAGAAGCGAAAAAUACACCCACUAGCUUGUACAUAUAUUUCUUCAUCAAAUUAUAUAUGUCGACUGCUCAAAACAUCACAUACACCAAAAAUCCAAGAUUGGUGUGCCGAGAGCAAAAUGGCGCAGAGUACGUGAAAGCGUGUACUGAUCGAGAUGUUCAAUAAAGACUGGUCUGUUCGAUGAGGCCUCACGGAACCAACAUACCAAACACAUGGUCCAUUUUCAGUUGCGGCGCGCGGCAACACAACCAGCUAGCUGUUCCAUGUAAAACACAGCUACAGAUGAACAAGUGAGUGAAGCCCAGCUGUAGAAAAGAAGUUGCAGUUCUUGUGCUUGUGCGUUACCAGAAAUGAAAUCUCACUGAACUGACUUACAUAAGCAUCCCACGGUGAUGCAUUUGUGCAAGAAGAUGGUAACCUGCAAUUUUGUACUCGUACCGAACAAGCUAGGUAGAUCUAGAAAAUAGAAGGGCCACCUUUCUCUGCUCCAUGAAGCAGAGACCAAAAACCCCAAUGUGGUGGUGGUGGUGGUGGUGGUGGUACAAACCAAACCAAACCAAAACCCAAGUUGCAGCCACAGAGCAGAGGUGAUCAGACUUGUGAAUCAACCUAGCAAGAUGCAGCCACAGCAAGGGGAUCCCUGCGCUCCUACGUGAAAGGGCGGACCACUGCGCCAACAUCCCCGACUUGUGCAUCUUGCGUUUUCCUUUCUUUUAUUAUUACCUUCAUCGGAUUUUUUCCCAGUUCUCUGUUUAGUUUUCACACGUUUUUAUUCCUUUUCUUUUUUCUUGUUCUUUUUCUUUAUUUUUUUGCAUCUUAAAUGAGCGGAUUCCUUUUCAAAUUUGAUGCACUUUUUUUUCAAAAUUGGUGAACUUUUCUUAAAUUCGGCAAACUUUUUUCAAAUUUGAUGAACUAUUUUUUCAAUUUUGAUAGACUUUUUUCAAAUUAGAUGACCUAUUUUCAAAAUUGAUAAAUUUUUUUCAAAAUUCCAUGAACUUUUUUCAACUUUGUGAAAUAUUUUUUCAAAUGAUUGAAUCUUUUUAAAAUUUGAUGAGCUUAUUUUCAAAAUCGAUGAACUUUUUUCAAAAAUGGUGUACUUUUUAAAAACUUCAAUGAACUUUUCUCAAAUUUGAUGAAAUAUGGAAGUUUUACAAUUUUGAUAAACUUUUCUUCAAAAUUGAUGAAAUUUUUUCAAGUUUGUGAACUAUUUUUUCAAAUGACUGAAUCUUUUGCAAAUUUGAUGAGCUUACUUUCAAUAUUGAUGAACUUUUUUAAAAAAUUCAAUGAACUUUUUUCAAAGUGGAUGAUUUUUUUUUUCAAAUUCGGUGAAAUUUUUUCAAUUACGAUGAACAUUUUUUCAAAAUUGUUGAACUUUUUUUUAAACUUCAAUGAACUUUUUUCAAAGUGGAUGGAAUUUUUUCAAAUUCUGUGAAAGCUUUUCAACUACGAUGAACUUUUUUUCAAAAUCGAUGAACUUUUUUCAAAACCGUUGAACCUUUUUUCAGGCUCACGAACAUUUACUCAAUUUAUGUGUUUUUCUCAAAUUAAUAAACUGUUUUCGAAUUUGAAAAUUUUCCAUUGAAAUUUUUAUUUUAAAAUUUAACUUCUUUUGAAUUCAUGAACUCUUUAAAUUUUGGUGAAUCUUUUUGCAUGUUUGUAAUCUUCGUUUGUAAUCUGUGAACAUGUUUUCAAAUAAUUGAAAAAUCGAAAUGGUACUAUCUAAUGCGCAAUAAAUAGUCCGUGUAGCAUUAGUUCUUAAUGAUUUUGUGCUGUAAAGAGUCAGUAACAGAUAGGUGGUCGAGUGGUUAGGCUUCCUGUACUGAAGGGCGACCGCGCUAGUUGGAAUCCCCUCUCUAGCAAUUUUCUGCUUAAUUUUUACACGCCGCACUUUGUUCUUGGGCUGGCCCACCCGGACGCGCCUGUGAGCGCCAGUUGCGUUUCUUGGCCCCGAAGGCGCGCAAUAGGAGCUCCCCGAAAUGAAACUCAACUUCAAUGCAUCAUAUGUAUGUAUGUACUACUGUAUUAUUUUCUUUUAAGAAAGGGAAACCUUUUAGCACCAAGAAGAAGGAAGGGAAUAGCUCCCCCCCCCCGGCCCUCGCGUCGUCCCCUUGGGCGACUCGGGGGCGACUAGGGUUCCGCCGCCGCCGCCACCCCCCUCCUCCCCCUCCCCCCCCCUCGCCGCUACCAGAGACGGCCACCGGGAAGCCCGCGCGGACGCCGGUGAAGGUGGCGCGGGGAUCUCGGCGCUCCUCCCCCUCUUGGAGGCCUGUGGUUCCUUGGGCGGCGGCCCUUGCCGGAGAGGCGACGUCGUUGGGCGGUGGGCGGCGUUCGCAGGGGGUGCUGGUCAGCCUGCCCGGCCGUGUGGGCGGCGGGUGGCUGGUGGAAUUUGGCCACGGCGUGAACUGCUUCGUCAGAUCUGGAGGUGCGAAAUCCCUAUUCCCUGCGGCUUCUCUCUCGCCUCCGUGGUGGGCUAGCUUUGCCUGGCUCCGACGUUGGUGUGUGUUGGUGGUCAGCCAGGGAACCGGGGGAAACCUUGGCCGGUCCGGCCGGCCCGGCGGCGGCAACGCCCAAGGGCGCUGCUUUCCUCCAUGGGGGCGCAGCCGAGGUCCCCUGCUUUCCACCCCGAUCCCCCUGCCCGGGUGAAUACCUUUAUCCCCGACGGAUUUGGCGGCGGCGGCGCCUUGCGCGUCGUGACCUUGCUGGAGGCGUCGUCAAGGGUGCGGGGCUCGGUCGGGAGGUUAUGCAGGUGAGGGAUUGCGCUACCUCCUCUGCGUCGUCCGAUUCAUGAAGCUUUUCUCCAACUAGUUGGGCUUGGACUGUGGCGGAGCAGCCAGCGAGGUAUAUCCCAAAUCGAUGUGGUCAUCCCAUGUCCACCUUGCAAUGCGAGGGCAACAUUCUUCCAGCUCCAGGGUGAGCUUCUCGAAAUCCUGACGGUGCGGCGCCUACGAGCCAUGGCGAGGGGGAAGGGUCCCUCUUUGGUGAUUGAGAAGGAAGAUGUUGGUUCCUCUCUUCUCUAAGUGUUCCUGGAGCUCGGUCCAUCCUCGAAGGUCGGCUAUGUCCUGAUGCGCUGCUCCGUUUCUGCUACAUAUGAUCCUAGUGUGGAGUGCUCGGCCUUUACUAGCUGUAUUCAUUUGUGGCCUGUGGAGGUUGUAGUGAGUAGUCUUUUCAGUGUUCCCCGUUGUAUCGUUCUGACCGUUGUAAGUUGGGUUGUCUGCUGUAACUCCUGGCCGGUUGAUGGCUUUGUUAAUUCAAAGCCGGGCUCUUCGCGAGCCUUCGUUCUAAAAAAAAAAACGGUGCGCCAGCCCAAGCUUCAGCCGAUCAAGUCUAGUGCGUUCGAUCCCUUGUUGAUCCUGCGUCUAUCACGCGUCGUCUGGAAACCCUAUUUUUUAUUCUUCUCUGCCUUAUCUUCUUCCUCAACCACACAAUGAACCACCUACUUUCCCCUCUUCUUUCCCCGUUGAGGCACCCAAGGGACAACCACUGAUGUUGCAACCGGCAUUCUGGGAAGCUACAACUGAUGCGGCAAAAAGCUUCAACCGGCAACUACAAAUGCUGGAACUUGCCACUAUCACCAACUCAACUUCAAAGACGGAGUUGGGACCUUGUGACGGCCGCGAUAAUGAUUUGUAGCGACCGUUCUUGUUUUUGCGAUAACCGGUGAUAUUUUUUGCUAGAUUCAUUCAACGACGUUGACUGACUGGUAGCCGUCGUCAGCGCAAAUCUGUGCACCGAGCAUCAACAGUGAGGGAGCGGCUGCGGAGCAACAAACGAAGAUAGACCCAUUGCCGUUGAGAGCUGCAACCGCAGGUUCAACUGUUGCAUGGGUCGUGCUGCAACCGCGGAACGACACCGGAGCUGCGACCCGCACCAGCGGAGGCAUGGCCUGCCCCCCAAAGCUGCAAUUGUCACCACGGGGAGCUGCAACCGCGGGGACACAUUUGCUCAUGAGAAACGCAGUAGGCGACGAAGGCGACCGGUGAUGAUGACACGACCAGCGGCGAGGGGAACGAUAGGGUAGACAAGCGGGAAGGUGCUUCGACGCCACUGCGUCAGUUGUCCAUGGCAACACGUUGGGAAAUUUUUAUAAAAGAAGAGAUACGUUCGGUGGAGGAAGAAGGGAAUCGUGCGGCUCCUGAGCGCUAUAUCGUACGGUGCUGGUCCGACUGGCCCAAAUUUGGAACUGCAUCCCCAAUUUGGGCCAGUCGCUCAUAUCUACGCCCACACCGGCACCCCUCUUUGGCACUGCAUCCCCAAUCCCCACUUCAAAUCGAUUGCUGUUGGCCGCCGAAUCAACGUGCAUCAGACCGUGCAACCACCCCAAGCACCGCCCGCAGGAGAUCCAUGCAUGUCUCAGCUGCCACCCACCAUCGCCAUCUCCAGAUUGGAUACAUCAGAUAUUGUGACGUAGCCCAACUUUGCUCUUUUUUUGCUUCUACAUUAUUUUUUGCACUGCUGUCUUAUAUGCAGAUCAUAAGUGAUGCUUCUUUAUUGUUUACUAGCAAAAAAAUCCGUGCGUUGCAACGGGAGAAAAAAAAAUCCACUCAUAUCUCUAGUUGGGUCAGUUGGACAAACUGUGCGUGGCUGUUUGACAGGUUAUGAGAUCAAACCCUUCCAUCGGCAAUUUUAUUUUUCUCUGGACCUGGGCCACAGUGCGCCGCCAGAUGGGCUUCCUCCGUUGGGCCAAAACGGAUGACAAGUAACGAAAUCAAAUAGCGUACGUGUGAAAUUAAUUGAAGCAGAACCAAAAGAAGCUGCACGAAACCAAGAAUAUCAUCUCCCUUUAAUAAUAGGUAUAGAUAUAGAUAUAGAUAUAGAUAUCGAUAUCGGCCUUUCAAAAAUAGAUUCCUGCCGUGUUGAUGCAUGUCGCCACUUCAGGCCAUGUCCGGUGGCAGUAAUGGCAUGCAAAUAAAUAUUGCUUCCUUGUAAAACUAGUACAUGCACACUUGCAAUGCACAUUGAUAGUAGGCAGAAAAUUAAUUACACGUUGAUAUCACACAGAAAAUUCAUUGCGCAUUUGAUAAUAGGUAGGAUAUUAGAUGAUCGUAUCUUCUCCCCAACAAUAAUUUACAAUAUUCAUUUGCUUCUCAAAUAUUGCUUUAAUUCGAAUAUUAAAUAAUUCAAAUUUAUGGUGCUCCGAAACAUUCAUUUGCUUCUAUAAAAGUGCUACCAAAAGAGAGCCUUGCAAGCCACAGAAAUUCUGAAGAACGACAUAACAUAGAGAAGGAAAAAAAAGGCCGUCAUGGCAAUAUUCAACAAGAACACAAGUGCCCAGUGCUUGUUGGCUCUUGUGCUCAUCGCUACUGUCAUUUCGUCUUGCGAUGCGUUUGGCCCAGGUACGUGCGUCUCUGACCUAACUAUAAGUCAAUGUAGUUUUGCCAUGUGAUGCUAAUUUUCUAUGUAUUUCACAAUAUUGAGUUGUAUGGAUCUUAUGGCAUCUGGUCCAUGCUGAAGCGUAACUUGCCAUGUUGUGCGGGUAUUCUUCUAACAAUGUUUUUUUGUGUGAACAUGUAGAAGGAGGAUGUUUCAGGCCUUUCCUGAGUUGCGAUCUGGACUUAUGCAGGCGUGACUGCAAUGGUUUAUUUGCCUCUUGCCAAAUGAUAGGCGAGUUUCACCACCGAUGUUGUUGCGCUCCCAAGAAACUCAGUGCAUCUAUUGAUAAGAAUAGUCAUCCUUGAGAUAUGCAUUCCGAAAUUAUAGUUUAUAUGUCACUGCUUUUUCCUGGAUCCAAUUUUGCAUGACUGAGUUAAAUUUAUCGCAAUUGAAAAAAUAUCGCUCCCGAGAUAUUUACGUAUCGCAUGAAACCAUAAUGCUUUGUUUGGAUGUUCAUAUUCAAACUUCAACAAUGAUAUUGGGGCCAAUAUCAAUUCAACUUGGACAUUGACAUUGACACGUAAGAUAAAUUCUGCUGUUUGGAUGCUGAUAUAUUUGACACUUAAACAGUGACAUUGAGACCUGUAAGUGCAUCUAGUGCCCCUUAGUGAUUUUGGUGUAUUGAAGACUUAGAGGUUAAGAGACUAAUGUGUUUGUGACUGUACAUAGGUCUAUAAGUCUAUGAGGAGUUUGAUAUUUACAGAAAAAGUCGACCCCUAAAAAUGAAUGUCUUCAACUGAAGACUUUGGCUUUCUGAAGACUUUGAAAGUGAAGAAAUUGGUGUGACCGUGAAGACUUGAUAUUCCUGCGAGGAACAUGAAGCGUGAAGACUUUUGUUUUCGUAGUUUCAUUUUCUCUUUCUUGACUCAUAGGAAACACCAUACUGUUAAAGGGGGUCGAGGAAAAACUAAGAAAAAGUUUCCAAGUGAUGCUCAUCUCAAAAUCCUACACCUACCAAUCCCUUCGAGUGAAGCCAUUAGAAAUCUCAUACAGAUCAGUCAAUUUCUUCAGUGACAGAGACGAAGUUCUUCUGGUCUCUGAGAAUUUGUUCUGACUGAGGAGAUAGGAAUUCGCCAGUGCGGAUUGCCUACAAAUGAGGAACAUG
rnacentral:lncRNA from 1 species